rnacentral:lncRNA from 1 species
GUACGUACGUACCUAGGCUUGCAUGCAAGGGCUCAGCGAAAUACGCGUGUAGAAGCUGAGCUCCUAGUGUUCCAACAACAGUCCACGCAAGUAACCAGUAAUUGUAAUUGUAAAAGAUCGACAUCGAAAUCGCGUUUGAGAUCGGGAUGGAGAAAGCAAUACGUGCAUGCCUGCUUUCAUAGUUUGUAGUAGUAUAUGCAUGUUCAUGGUCCCGGCCGAUCGAUCGACCUAUUUGUGGCCAGCAAAGAUCAAAGAGAGACCGCAUGCACACGUCCUGAAAACGCUACUACUCUGCAGCGUUUUGUUUUGUCGCCUUCGCCCAUCGACCAUCGCCGGGUCGGGCUCUCGUUCCCAGCACGCACUAUUGUGCAGGGCCAACAGGUGGCCGACACCUAUCCUGGUACGACCCCACCACUUAAACAACCGGUAUCUUUCUAAUUGCAGUUAGCUUCCAGAAAAUCAGCAAAACCACAUGUUUCCCUCCCGCGUAACAACAGAUUGCCGCCAAAAUCUCUUCGUGGCUUCAUCCAUACUCUCAUACCAAUCUGUUCCAUUGUUAAUUGUUGCCCCUGGAUCAAAGGAAAAUAUAUAGAUCAAGUUUGAUAGGAAAUUGUCCUCUCCGUGGAUCAACAUCUACCGUGUUCUUUAGCAUGGACGGAGCUCCUGCCACUUCAUCGUCCGCUCCUGCCACUUCAUCGUCCGCAGGUAUGUUCUUGCGCCUGGGAUGUACAGAUUGUCAACACUCUUGAUCAUACGAAGGUGAUAAGAUUGAAAGAAACAAACAAAGAAAGAGUUGAAUCUAUGACAUGCAAAUUACUCCCAGUACUUCAUCUUCCGUAGCCCUGUUUCUUUCAAACACAUGCAAAUUAAUCCUUCAGAAUUGCAUUAUAAUUAUGUUAGUGAUGAUUACUCCUAUGAUGUUGCGCACAUUAUGCAUCAGAGUACCACCUAAGUUUAUUAUAAAUUUUACUGCCUGAGAUUCUCCUUUGACAUAUUCUCUUUUUUGCUAACUCUAAUGAUAGAGAUUACUAUAUCAAAGAAAAAGAUCAAUAUUUUGCUAAUGCUCCCGUGAAUACCAUGUGUUGUUUUCAAAAAAAAAUAGCUCUAUCUUUAAGCGCUUUUCAGGUUUCACUAAAACCAGGACUGUGAAUAUCGUGUGAACUUUUACUCCAUGUGUCGUCCGUGAACUAAUUAGUAUAUGAUAUUUUUUUAUGUUGUGUAGAUCAUGACACCAAAAAUGUGGGAGAGGCAGGUCGAAACACAGAUGAUGAUUACAGCAAAAGGUUAAAACCAGAGAUAGGAAUGGAAUUUGAGGAUGAAGAGAUAGCAUAUGAGUUUUAUAAUGCAUAUGCAGGUCAUACUGGUUUCAGUGUCAGGAAAUUUUGGCAUGAUAAAUCCUCAACGAAUGUUAUUCGAACAAAAUUUGUAUGCUCAAAGGCAGGUUUCAAGGACAAGAGCAAGGAACAAUGCCAGCGGAAGCGAGCAGAUACAAGAGUUGGGUGUCCGGUAGAGAUGACCAUCAAAAUAAGUGCUAAUGGAAAAUAUGUUGUAAGCAACUUUGAGGAUGCUCAUAAUCAUGAACUCGUAACUCCAAGCAAAGCCCAUCUACUGCGAUCUCAAAGAAGAAUUACAGAAGCUCAGAAGGCCCAGAUUGACAUAUUGAAUGAUUCUGGUAUUAGACCAAAAUCUGGUCAUGAAGUGAUGAGUAGACAAGCAGGGGGUAGGCGAUGUCUUAGCUUUGGUCAAAAGGAUUAUAAAAAUUAUCUCCGAUCAAAGCGUAUGCAGUCAAUCCAAGAAGGAGAUACAGGUGCCAUUCUUCAAUACCUACAGGACAAGCAGAUGGAAAAUCCUUCCUUUUUUUAUGCUAUACAAGUAGAUGAAGAUGAGAUGAUAACCAAUAUAUUCUGGGCAGAUGCAAGAUCAAUAUUAGAUUAUCACUACUUUGGUGAUGUGGUAUGCUUUGACACAACCUUUAAGACAAAUAGUUAUGGCAGACCAUUUGCCCCUUUUGUUGGUGUCAACCAUCAUAAACAAACAGUGGUUUUUGGAGCUGCAUUAUUGUAUGAUGAAACAUCUGAGACGUUUGAAUGGUUGUUUGAAACAUUCAAAAGGGCCAUGUCAGGAAAAGAACCGAAGACAAUAUUGACCGAUCAAUGUGCUGCCAUUAUUAGUGCCAUUGGCAAGGUUUUUACUAACUCAAUACAUCGUCUAUGUGUGUGCCACAUGUAUCAGAACGCUGCAAAACAUUUGAGUCAUGUUUUUCAAGGUUCCAAGACAUUUAAGAAAGAUUUUGGCAAGUGUGUUUAUGAUUUUGAAGAAGUUGAUGAAUUCAUAGCAGGUUGGAAUGAUAUGCUAGUGAAAUAUAAUUUGGAAGAUAAUGACUGGCUACAUAGAUUAUUCCAGAACAAGGAGAAGUGGGCUUUGGUUUAUGGUCGACAAACCUUUUGUGCAGAUAUGAUAUCCACACAAAGAAGCGAGAGUAUGAAUGCACUAUUGAAACGAUACCUGCAUGUUCGCCUUGAUUUAUUAGAUUUCUUCAAGCACUAUGAGAGGGCCGUGGAUGAUAGAAGGUAUGCUGAAGUGGAAAGUGAUUUCUAUGCGAGUCAAACAUCACCAAAGGUGCCAUAUGUGCAGAUGCUUAUACAAACAUCGAAAGUAUAUACACCUGCUAUGUUUGAGAUAUUUAAAGGAGAAUUUGACAUGGUAAUGGGAUAUUGUGUGUACGAGAGUGGUCGUACUGGCUCUAUUUCUUAUAACAUUUUGAGCAAAGCAGCAGCAAACAAAGAGGCAUAUGCACUACUGCAAAGUAUGUCAAUUGAACUAAUGGAAAAGGUGGACCAAAUUUUACAUGGAAAUCAAUCAAAAGAUAUAUCACCAAAUCAUGAACAAGCAGAGAAGCAACCAGUUGAAUGCAACAUUGAGAAUGUAGUCACAGAGAAGCAACCAGUUGAGUGCAACCUUGAGAAUGUAGUCACGGUACAGGGAAUAAAGAGAAAAGAACAAGGAAAUAGCAACAAGAGGAUUAAUUCUGGACUGGAGCUGAACAAUAAGAAUAAAUGUAAUAAAAAAGGUAUGGUAUUCCUCAAGAAAUAGCUAAAUAAAUAUCUGGUCAUGUUAUUGAAAUAGAUCUGACAAAUUGUUUUGCAAAUAGGUCAAGGAACAACAUGCAAGAAUAAGAGUGGUGAUUGUGCUUCUGCAUCAUCUGGACCAAAUCCUAGCUUCAGCAUAUCAGAUGAGAACUAUAAUUUGCAAGUAUUACAGCAUGCUAUGCCUCCACUACCAAAUGCUGCUAAUUACAAUUUGCAAGUAUUGCAGCAUGCUAUGCCUCCACUACCAAAUGUUGCGAAUUACAAUCUGCAAGUAUUGCCGCCCGCUAUGCCUUCGGCACCACAAGCUGUUUCCUCAUUACCACAUGCACAUAAUUAUAAUUUGCAUGUACUGCCGGGUACUAUGACAUCGGUACCACGACCUGAGAACUAUAAUUUGCAAGUAUUACAGCAUGGCUUGCCUCCGCUAUCGCCGGCAAGCACUACUAGUUUUCAACAGUUACUUGGCUUGCGACCACAACAACCAUAUGUCUAUCAUAGCAUUCAACCGAGUCAGGUAUGUUUAUUUAGUUAUUUUUUAAAAUUAAGACGAGCAUGCACGGGUCAUUUACUUUUUGAUUAACACUACAUGUAGACUUAUGUGGUGUCAUCGGACUCCGGAUGGCCAACAUCUCAUAAUCACCAGCCGCCAACUAGCACUCAACCAAGUCAGGUAGAAUUUUAUUAGUUAAUCGCUAGAAAUUAAAAUGAACAUGCACAUGUCAUUUGCUUGUAUUGACUUUUGAAUCAACAUUGUAUGUAGAGUUCCCAAAUGCUAUCAGACUCGGGAUGGCCAACAUCUCAAAAAUGACCAGCUGCCAAUUCAGGUAUUGUUCACUUGCAAGUCAUAUUCCCAAUUGAAGUUUAUAUCUCCUAAGAAAUCAUUUCUUUGUUCUUUCAGGUCUUGGGUAGCCAAUGAAGUCACAUACAAGAUAAACACUUUUAAAUAGCUCUAUGUAAACUUUGUAUCCAGGAUUGCUCUACAAGACAGUUCCCUUGAGAUGUAAUAAUUUAUCUUACUGUUCCUUUUGAUGUUAGAUGCGCAAUGGUUUUAUGCUCAAAUAAAAAUAUAUACAUGAAUAUGGAUUAGUUGUUGGUUAUUCCUUUUGAUAAGUUAGAUGCGUAACUGAGGUUUGGUUUUCUAGUUAAAUGUGGUCUUAUAGGCACUAAAUUCAUUAAAAGGUGCUUUCACCAAUUUGUGAUUUCCCCUGUACUGUAUGACUAAAGAGCAGAGGAGAGUAGAUAGCUUGCAUACUUCAGAGUUCAGUACAUAGCUACUAGUAGUACAGAGCUACUCCCUCCGUCCCAUAAUAUAAGAGCGUUUUUGACAUUACACUAGUGUAAAAAACACUCUUAUAUUAUGGGACUGAGGGAGUAGUACAUUGCUACCAGUAAAGAGCUCGCAUACGUAUAUAGCUGAAAGCUAAUUAGGUACUAGCACAAAGGUAGAUGAAGCAGUGAAUCAUCUCUCACCUUUGCCUGUUGAGCUUGCAUCGAGUUCGCAUCUUCCACUGUGAUCAUCCAACCUCCCGCGGAAUCUCGGCCACCGGCUGCACGCGCUGCAGUUCCACCAUGCCACCAUCUUACAGGGAGCGGGUCAGCCACAACCUUUGGCUGGCCUUGAGUGUGCCGGAGCCGGACGACAACAGCCGCGACGGCCCCGUCUUGCCGCCGGCCAAGUCCACGGCCGAGCGUGGCGCAGCGCGCCUUAGCCGAGCGGAGCUAGCCGUGACGGAUCCCACCUUGCCUCCAGCCAAGACAACGGCCCCAGGCCGCGCAGCGUGCCGGAGGCGAGCGGCGGCGACUCCUGCCUUACCGCCUUCCAACCCUGCAGCUCCUGGCGGCGGCGCGCCGGAGACGGGUGGCGCUAGCCGUGACAGCUCUGGGCAGCGAAGCGCGUAGGAGACGGACGGCCAUAUACAGCUCCGGUCUUGCCGCCGGCGACGGACCUGAACGGUGGAUUUCAUCUGGUCGGAAUCCUCCCUCCCAGUGGAAUGAGUGGCUGUGGAAGAGGGAAUGGCAGUAGCGGUACGCUGGGAUAAGGCAAAGAAAAAUCAUUUUCAGUAAAAGGAAAACGUUUUAUUAAGUGAUGGGGUCCUAUCAGGAUAGAUGUCAGCUACCCGUUGGCCCUGCACGAUAGUGCGUGCUCGAAACCCAGCAGGAGAGCCCGACCCACCAUCGCCCAUCAAUAUAUCGUAAUUUCUGGCCAAGGCCCACUCGACCUCCCCCACCGGCGCCCAAGCCAUCUCUCUAGGCCCCUAUCAUCAGUGAACAACUCCGGUGACCAUCGUGCACACACACCCACUUCUAAGAUACUCUUACAUAAUGGGGUUGCUACUUUCACCUAAGAUAGAUAGAUAAUGUGGCUGCUCUUUCUCUUAAGAUAGAUAAUAAGAUUGCUGCUUCUCUCCUGAAGUUUCUUCUUCUUCGGCGAGGUCCGGCGUGCCAAACAAAAAAAGACCUAACACAUGAAAAAAUAUUUAGGCGCCUGAAAAAUAGCAAAACCAAAUUUAUUUAGCUAACCAGUGAUCCAUAUAAAUUCACCCACCCCCUCCCCCCGCGGCCGGUCUCGAUCACACUACUGCUACGUACUGCUGCCGCUUCUGCGUCUAGCUACAUACAGGCCCUUCAUUGUUCUUGUUCCCUGGGAGACCCAUGUGCAUGUGACCAACUACAACUAUCCGUGCAGUGAAUUUCAUCGAGAUCCAUGGACCAUGGGUAUCCUAAAACUAUCUGUCUCAUCUCUAAGUAAUUUGUGAAUGUUUUUUAAGGAUGGAGUAAGUGAAUUUGAAGCGUCGGGGUGGUAAAAUUUUGUCUCCGGCGUAAGUACUCACGUGGCUGGCAAAGGGGUGCAUGGGGUGCAUGGAUCGGACUUUGGAGAGCUGGGACCAAAUUGACACCUCUAUAUACAUGGCCGACUAAACAACACUGAUUUGACGAGAAUACCCCGAGUCAGAUUCACGUACAAAUACGAUGCAAAAAAAAAGAUUCACAUACAAAUAAAGCACAAUGGGAGCGGUAACCUAAUUAGAUGGGUUCAUUAGACGGGCAAUGUACCACACGCAUACGCUACGCAUGGAUGCAAGAUUUCGAGCACUAAAAUUAUUGAAAUGAAAUUUAAAUAUAAAAAAAAUAAGGACACCGGUAAAUCUCGAAUGUUCAGAUUUUAAGCACGUCAUCCCGAAUGUUUUUUCAUGGCAACUUUAGUUGACGCGAGGUGGCAAGUUUAGUUGUUAAAACAUGGCAACUUUGUCCCAGUUAGUUUUUUGUUAGAAAAUUGCCAUGUUUGCCAUCUUCGUGUGAAAUAGAGAUGCCAUGAAAAAUGUUUGGAUUGCCAUGCUUAAAAUCCCAACAUUCAGGAUUAUCAUUUCCGAAAAAUAAUAAGACUAUUGAGAGGCUGUGGUAGAUAUAUUGGGUGAACAAAGGAAAGGAAUGAUGGAUGGAGAAUAAGGACCGGUAAAUAUACUGACCGACGGUCGACGAUGACGUACGCAUGCAUGAUUGAUUUAUUUUUUUUCGAAACAGCGCAUGAUUGAUUUUGCAUGUAGCUGCAUGCAUGGCCUUGUCCGUCCGGGCCACUGAAUCCAUGUACCGUGGAGCACAGCGCACGUACUCGACCGUGGAGUGGAGCAUAGUAAACCGAUCAUGCAUGCUAAUCAUGGACGUACGUGUUGACGGCUGAUGUUGCUGAUAACAUUCAGAUAAACUGGACCGCAAAAAAGAAGAUAAACUGUGAACUUUCUAUUUCGGUGGCCGGUGUUUUUGGGGGCCAAGCAGUAGUCGUGUGUAGUAAACUGUAUACAAAGUUGCACGCACAGUAUUUCACAUGAUUAAUUUGGCACGACCUAUAUAUACAGUAUAUGGUCUGACUGACACCCAUUAAUACACGCAUCAAAUUCAGAUCCAAUUCAAAAUUUGUCCAUAUUCACAACCCUGCAGGGGCAGUAGUACAGCACUGCUUGUCCAGUGCUACGCAGUACGGUGGUCACUGUCCCCUGCCUCGCGCGAUCCAUGCAUGCUUCCCCAGGAAACCCAUGCAUGCAUGAUUUUUACUCCCUGGAUGGGGAUGGCUGAUGCAGAUCCAAUGCUUGAUGUCGAUGAAUGACGUAAAUUACAUACAACCACGACUUUCUCGGGCAAAUGUCUUUCAGAAUAAUCAGCUUACGAAAUAUAGGCGGGUUCGAGAGAAACUUGAUGUUUUAGUUUCAAGUCUAAUUUCUCGGUUUAAUAUUCAAACUACAAAGGAAAUUUGAAAUAUUUUCAUCUCAGCCAAGGAUGAGGUUGACUUGCUCACUGCGCUUGCUUUAGCUGUGGUUUUCUGAGGAUUAGAUGCGUCACUUCUUGCAGCAAUCCUCUUUUGCCUCUCUUGCUUAAGCCUUUCGAGCCGUUUCAUCUGCUUCACUUCCUGAAAAUAUUUAUUUACAAGGAAAAAAAAUCAUGAGAGGUUUGAGCAAUCAUGCUGAAAACUGCAAUUCUGCUGAUGCAAACAAAUGACAUUCUCCACCACAUUAUUUUCCCUAUUAUUUGCUUGUAGGUAGUGGUGUUCUACUCUAGAGACACAUAUUAAAAAUAUACGGUUAACAGGGGUAGCAAACAAUGAUGCAAAAAUGACAUGAAUACUUUUAUUUUAUUUCUUUUUUGCUAUUUUUAUAUUUACAUGAACAAUUUCAUUUUUUUAUUUCUUUAUUUUUUUUCCUUUUUUUAUUCUUACACGAACAUUUAAAGAACACUUUUUUAAUGACAUGUAUUUUUUGAAACACAUGAUGAACAAAUUUUAAUACACAAUACUAUUUUCAAAAAUAGUUAUACAUUUGCACUACUUCAAAAACAAUAUUUUAUAAGGAAAUUUUUUUAAAAAGAAUGUGUUCCAUCGCUAGGCCUUGGUCAUUUAAGGCUGCGCGUGGGAGAGCUUGCCCUCCUAGCUACAGGCGAUGGGCCAGCCAUAUUUGUCGUGCGGGUUGCUGGGUAACGAACAAACGCAUACCCCUAUGAAAUCAUUAAUUGAGAAGUACUCCUUCCAAAGGUCACUCCAACUCCAGGUUGCGACAAGUGACACACUGCAUAUGUGCCACUUGUCGGAACCUCCGAGUUUUCGCUUUUUCGUAGAUUCGUUUAUUCAAAAUGUUUUAUCUCUUAAACCGUGCGUCUAAAUCUCGAACCGCUUUCAUCAUUGGAUUCCUCGCGUUGAGAUUUUCAAAAUUAGAUCCCAUGUUGAUAGGUUUUGAAGAACUUUUUUUCACGAAAAAACGGGCGAAGGAAACCGAAUCGAGAGCAUGUUUUUUCCCUUUCUGAAAGCCGUUUCCGAGAGGUACGGUCAUGCCUCUCACGGAAGCAAAAUCGUGCCUCUCAUGGAAGGAAAAAAGCGCAUGGCGGCGGCGCCCAGAGCGCGACACAUGGCGGCGGGCACGCUCUCGGCCCACCCCAAGUAAUCGUUUGGAGGCUCCUGAAGGAGCGCUCCUCAAUUAGGAUUUUUAGUAACAAUUUUGAGUAAUGCUCCUAAUUUAGUUGCUCAGAUACCCCUAUUAUUCGCUACGCACAGAUACUGGGCCGGGCAUGCUCCCUAUUUGUCUACUUUCCUUUCUAUGUUUCCCUUUCUGGUUUUUGUGUUUUUUUAAUUUAGCAAAUAAUUUUUAAUAUCGUGAACAAUUUUGGAAUUCUCAAACCAUUCUUGUAUAUGUGAACACUUCUUAAAAUUCACAAACUUUUUUCUAAUUUGUGAACAAUAUUUGAAACCCUGAACAUCUUUUUUGAUUCUCAGACAUUUUCCAAAACCACAAAUAUUUUUUGAAAUUAAGAAAAAAUUUAAAUUUAAAAACAAUUGAUGUAUUCAUGAACAUUUGUUCAACAAUUUUUGAAAUCUUAUAUAUUUUUUGAAUACGCUAACAUUUUUCGAAAUCAUGAACAUUAUUUGAAAUCUUGAACAGUUUUUUGAAUUCAUGAACAUUUUGUGCAUUCAUGAACAUUUUUCAAGUUUGCAAUUUUUUUUCCAUAUUUCUUGAAAUUUCGUUAAAAAGGAAAAAGGAAAAGGAGGGGAAAAACAGACCCAAAAAAACGAAGAUAAAAAGUGACGCCCAGCACCCCGGCACUGGGCUCGCCACCGCUUUGGUCGGGGAAUAGGAGCUCCAACCUUUGUUUGAUCUGAAAAAUGCACGACCCAACCUCCUUUUCAGGGAAGAAAAUGAACCUGGGCCAAAGAAGUCUCACAGUAAAAUCGGAAGACUGAUCUAAAAUCAUCAUCUGAAUAUAUAGUAGUAUACAGAAGUUUGCAUUUAUGAACCAAUGACAAUCAGUGGAUAUAUUCAUAGCUGACUUAACCAUAACAUGACACAAGAGCACAUCCUAUAGAUGACUUUACAAAACCAGAUGGAUCCUCUACGUGAAGUGAAGCAUGGCAUAGCUGCUCCCAGUCAGAGUCAGUUGAGCUGACGAGGAAUGUAGCAGCCUCCUCGGAGUAGCAGAGUAGAACAACAUUAGUACGUAGUCAGUUACUUCAGAGUUCUUCCACCAUCAAAAUAUGUUCCUUGAGAAUCCCAUCCCAGCGAGCUUUGUCUCCUUGAGCUCGUCGUCCUCUGACCACAGGGCAGAGGGAGUCCGGGGUUGACAUGAAAUUACUCAGCCGCAGCCGUGAUAUCCAUAACUUCCACCAUGUCCAUGCGGCCUGCUCCAUGUCCAUAUAUACAAGUAAGCAUCUCAUGAAACUUACAAAUGACUUUUACAAAACUAGAUAAAUAAGUAAGUAUAUAAACUCUACGUACGUACAUGGCUGUUCAUUCGGCCGCUUGGCAAAAUGAGUUGUUGCCUUCCAUUCCAUUCCCUGGGCGCCCAAUUCAGCAUGGUACCUGAAGCAGCACGCCUGGUACCUAGUAUUGUCCACAGGCAGGCCCAAGAUGUGCACUAUCUGGAAGACAAUUAAUAGCCACUUUAAAAUUUAUACAAAUUAAAAAACAGUAACACAAUGGGUAAAUUACAUACCUGAACGAAUGGGGCAUUUGCCAAAAAGUGGUUGAGUUGAAAUUAACAAUCUUACGAGGUUUGAGCUGACGGGGCACAAGAACCAUGACCUUUUAAUCCUUUAUGAAUCACAACAGACAAAUACUACUAGAGCAGAACAACAUUAGUUAGUCAGCUACUUGAGAUCUCUUCCUCCAUCAAAAACAUGCUCCUUGAGAAUCCCAGCGAGAUUUGGUCCGAAGGAAACUGCUCCCUGGAAUCGGCCGCUUCCUUGAGCUCUGCUUCAUCAUUUGCAUUGUGAAAUUGAUCUUGUGUGAGAUUCGGCAAGUCCGGAACAGCAAUGUAAGCCCUGCACACAUGAUUGACCAAUAACAGUCAUGUGGAUGCCAGCUGGAUGUUAUGGCACAAUUAAAAUUGCCUCCUUGAGUAGAUAUUUUUCAAGUUAUGUACGUAGUAGAAACAGAGAAGAGAACCAAUAAGAAAUUGCAUUCCGAGCAUGUUGUGCAGCCAACCAAUGAAAGGCAAGUCCCUUUAAUUAGUUCUUGGAUGAAACUUCAGUUUCUAAAAGUUGACAAGACUAGCUACAACUGUAUAUGUUUCUGCCCUUGAAAACUGUAUAGAAUGAAAGAAAAAGAGCUAAUACAUGGUAUAAUCCAUUUGGCGACAGUAGCAAAUAUACUUCAACUUAAGUAGUAGGAACAAAGAAGAGAACCAAUGGCAAGUUGUACUCAGUAAUUCAUAGUUACUUGUUCGAUUUCUAAAAGUUUGACAAGAUUAGCUACAAGUAAGACUGCAUGCAUAAGAAAACAAUCUGAAAAAAGUGGUAAUGCAUGGUAUAAUCCGUUUGGGCAUAGUACACUUACAACACUUGAAAAAGAAGGCUCCAGGCCGCUUACCUCCUCUGCAGGACAGCCUCCAACACUUGUUGGUAUGCAGACGUAUGUAUCCACCGGGAGGCAAAGAUGGGACAGGUGGCUGGGUGACGAAUCAAUCAGAAUUCGACAAUUUUGUAAGCAUUGCUUGCUUCACGGUUUUUAACUCCUUGGUCACCAGAAUUCGACUGUGGGGAUAUGACGAAUCUUGUAGGCAUCCUCCCUAUGGCACCUCACAAUUAGCCUUGGACAUCGAACAAUUUUGAGUAGCGUCAAAGCAGAGAGACUCCGUAUGCUUUCAGGCAAAGAUGUCAGGUUGGGGCAAUCGCAGGUGAUAAGUUGCUCCAGAGACAUCAACUGUCCCAACCAUCCAGGUAAUGCUUCCAUGCCUAUGCAAUUUUUCAACCAGUCUUCUAAGAGCUGUGAGGUUCUUCAUGCUUUCAGACAAAGAUGUCAAGUUGGGGUAAUCGCUGAUUAUAAUUUCUUCUAGGCAGGUCAACUGUCCCAACCAUCCCGGUAAUGUUUCGAGGGCUUUGCACCCUUCAAACCUCAGUUUUUUAAGAGCGGUGAGGUUCUUCAUGCUUUCAGGCAAAGAUGACAGGUUGGGGCAAUUGAUGAUUACAAUUUCUUCUAGAGAAGUCAACUGUCCCAACGAUCCUGGUAAUGUUUCCAGGCNNNNNNNNNNNNNNNNNNNNNNNNNNNNNNNNNNNNNNNNNNNNNNNNNNNNNNNNNNNNNNNNNNNNNNNNNNNNNNNNNNNNNNNNNNNNNNNNNNNNNNNNNNNNNNNNNNNNNNNNNNNNNNNNNNNNNNNNNNNNNNNNNNNNNNNNNNNNNNNNNNNNNNNNNNNNNNNNNNNNNNNNNNNNNNNNNNNNNNNNNNNNNNNNNNNNNNNNNNNNNNNNNNNNNNNNNNNNNNNNNNNNNNNNNNNNNNNNNNNNNNNNNNNNNNNNNNNNNNNNNNNNNNNNNNNNNNNNNNNNNNNNNNNNNNNNNNNNNNNNNNNNNNNNNNNNNNNNNNNNNNNNNNNNNNNNNNNNNNNNNNNNNNNNNNNNNNNNNNNNNNNNGCAAUGUUUCCAGGCCUUUGCACUCUGUCAACCUCAGUACUUUAAGAGCGAUGAGGUUCUUAAUGCUUUCAGGCAAAGAAGUCAGGUUGGGGCAAUCGCCGAUUAAGAUUUCUUCUAAAGAAGUCAACUGUCCCAACAAUCCCGGUAAUGUUUCCAGGCAUUUGCACUUUAUCAACGUCAGGUUUUUAAGAGCGGAGAGGUUCUUCAUGCUUUCAGGCAAAGAUGUCAGGUUGUGGCAAUCGCCGAUUAAAAUUUCUUCUAGAGAAGUUGAAUGUCCCAACGGUGCCGGUAAUGUUUCCAUGCCUUUGCACUCUAUCAACGUCAAUUUUCUUAGAGCAGUGAGGUUCUUCAUGCUUUCAGGCAAACAUGUCAGGUUGGGGCAAUCAUCGAUUGAAAUUUCAACUAGAGAAGCGAGGUCACCGAACCAUACCGGGAGUGCCUCCAAGAACUUCAAUGACUUCAAAUAUAGUUCAGUGAGAGAGGUGAAGCCUCGCAUGACCACUGGCAAAGUCCUCAAUCCACUGGCCGAGAUUACCUGAAAUUUCUCAAGGGUGGGAAAGUGUUGAAGUCUAUCCCACUUGUCUUGAGAGAAACUACACCUCUUUAGAACCAUCAAAGAAGGACGGAUGGAAGACGAGAGCUUUCCAAAUCCUUGUUCUGGCAAAACUGUCUCGCUGUUGCUCAAAACCCAAUUCAUACUUCUUGGGGGAUAUGGUAGGAACUUCAACCUUGGGCAGUCCUUUAUCUCCAAAUGAUGCAAAUUAGGGAUCAGAAACCCUUUUGUUUCUUCACUUGACUCUGUUGUCCACCAUUCCACCAAAUUUUCCAUCAACGUCAAUAGCAGUAUUCUUAGUUUCAUACAAGGUCCACCCUCUCCAUAGAACUCCUUACCAAUUUUCCUAAUGUUGGGAAUGUUUAUCAAACACAGCCUUCUUAAAUUUGGUAGUGCCCCAAAUGGAGGAAGACAAUCACAUGCUUCCAAACCAUCAAGAGUCAGUUCACUGAGAAAAGGCAGGUAGGACGAGAUGUCAAACAUCCAGUCAGGGAAUUCAUUGCUCCUAUACCCAAUUAGCGAAAAGUCUUCAAGAGUCCGAGGAGGAACGAGCCUGCCCAGUACAGAUUCACCUCCUUUAUUUCCGAAGUGAAGUUUUAGUACUUGAAUAUCUGAUUUAUCACGCAGUUUGACUCUGUCUGCAUCUUCUGACUGCCUGACAUUCUGAAGGUCUAGAAGCAUCAGCUGUGAACAAGUCAAUCCCACAAGAUCCACUAUACUGCUGCAUCCUCUACUCUCUAUCUCGUGUACACGGUGCUCUACUGUGCCCACAAGAUUUAGACGUUUUUCAAUGGCUCGAGCCUUUUCAGGCAAAUCAUAAGUUGCAUUAUCAAUCACCAGCUCGGUGAGACUAGUCAUGUCACCAAUGCUAUCAGAGCAGUCCUUCAUAAGUACAAGACCAUUCAUGUGCAGUAUUUGAAGCUUAAGGUCACCAAAUGAGGAGGGGAGCUCAUUGAGACUCAGACAGUAUGACAAAUAGAGAUACCUUAGCUUGAACAACUUGCAUAGUGACUCUGGUAAUUGUCGGAGUUUAGGACAGCUUUUUAGAUUCAAAUAUUCAAGCUCGAAGAGUUGAUCAAAACAUUCAGGGAGCUCUUCGAGGUUAUGACAAUUUGACAUGUCUAGGUGGUGUAAGCAUCUAAGCUCACAGAUUGAUUCAGGCAACUCUUGGAGUAUAUAACACCCGGAUAGAUUGAGGAAGAAGAGUUGAGAGAGCUCCCCUAGUGAUGCAUUUAGCUUACUGAGGCUGCUACUGCCAGAUAGGUCCAAAUAGCAAAGUUUGCUGAGGCGACAAAUAUUGUCAGGCAAGGUUUCAAGCAAGCAAUUGGACAGGAUAAGAGUUUCCAUGUUUUGAAGUUCAUGAAAAUACUUAGGAAGUGAUGUUAUUGGCAAGCCUGUGGCAUCAAGGUACCUAAUCAGCUUCAAUUUCUUAACAGAAGAUGGCAGUGCCACGCUACUUGGAGCAGAUUGGCCAUUAGCUGAAUGUCCACUUAGGUCCAGGACACGUAUGUACUUGGACCGAGAAAAUGCCUUUUUUGGGAGUUGCAGUCCCACCAAAUCCCUAAAGUGGAGGGAUCUAAGCUUGUGUGGAAUAUAUUUGAAAAUCUCUGGAUCAUUCUUGAAGUUGGUUAACUGUGCAUGUCGGCAGUAACGGGCUCUCUUCAUCAGAUCUAACCUCUGGGUGCUUUUGGUAGCAUCCAGAUCAAUGAAUUCAUCAGCAACAAUUAUUGAUGCGAGAUCAUGCACCAAAUCAUGCAUGACGAGUUGUGGAGGAGCUUUGAAAUGCAAUGGACUUGGACUAACCUGCAGAGAUAACUACUAUCAAUAUAGUAUUGCAAAGAGAAAUGUAAAAUCCCUAAAGAAUAGGAAAUGUUAAAAUGGACUUGAGAGAAGACACUGAACUGGUCUAGUAAAAUCGCAACUUGCUCAACAUCUGAGGAGCCCUUAUACAGAACAAUUUUCAUAUACAUUUUUUUACUAGAAACGAUGGAUUCUCAAAAAUUUGUAUAAUCUAGAAUCAUAACAGAGUAUAAUUUAUGAAAGCGCAUCCUUGUCUAUAAAUAAAGGAAAAAGAAAAGAUGGUAAAAAUGAACCAGCCAGAAAUGGUGCCUAUAGGUACUAACCGAAGUAGAUCCUGGAAUCUGAAGAAAGGACAUCCCCAAAAGGUAGUUGAUGCACCUUUGACCAUCAUGCCUUGAAUUAAUGUAUCCAAGUGCAUUCCAUUGCUGGAUUAGACGAUUGCUGUCCAAGACAAAGCCCUUGGAGAAGGUUGCCAAGUACGUGAAACACAUUUUGUAUUCUAGCUUCAUGUAGUAAUAGCUGAGCAUUAGCCUCUCUAAUGUUUCUUUCUGAUGUCCUUCUCUCAAACCCAAAUCAACCUUGCUGUCUCUUAUAUGUUCCCAUGCCCCCACGGUCCUUAGCUCGGACAUUACUUGCCCAAGAGCAUUUGCCACAAGUGGUAAACCCCCACACUUGGCUGCAAUCUGCGAACUACAACCAGAUGUAGCACAUCUUCUCAUUUGGGCUGGCAACUGGCAAGCAUGCCAUGGAUUCCGAUGAGCCUCUCGGUUCGCUCAUGCCCGAGUUCCAGAGACCCCGGACGCGGAGGUAGUCCUUGAUGGCCCUGACAAGCCCUUUGAACACGUACAUGUGCUUGAUGGGAAGAGGAAGAGGGGCGGCUUGAUGGAGGAGGAGAUCAGUGUCUUCACCAGCAUGAUUGAGGCCGUGAAAAGGUGGCAACCGCCAACAGGGAGAGCAACCGUUAGUAGUCUGUAUGAUUUGACAACAGUGGUUAAGAUGAGGCAGAAAUAUACAUGGAUGGCGAAUAAACCUCGUUUCAUCAGAAAUAGAGAAACAAUCAAAAUAGGGAGGCGACAAGUGUUACCUUGGGUGUAGUUAUGUUUCGACGGAUAAAUCUGGGUUGGUUCUUUUGAUUUUCUCAAUUUGCUCCUCUAUCUCAGCGCUGCGACCAGUCAUAUAUAGUUUUCUCAGCGAAACUGGGAGGCCCUCCUUGGGCAUGGAUCGGAUAUUUGGACAGUACCUGACACAUAACUCCUUGAGAGAAGAAAGGCGAUGUAACCCUUGAGGAAGGGACUGCAGACCCUUGCGGGAGUAAAAACUUAGUUUCUGGAGGGAGGUGAGGAGCUGCAGCGCUUUCUCUUGCUCUUCCGUGAAGCAUUCCAUCCUCCCAUCAGAACCAAAUCCUUUUCGAAAAAAAUCAGAACCAAAUACAAGUGUGUGGAGGGCUGGGGCGAGGAGAUUGCAAAUAGGAGCAACAAGCAAUCCAGAGAUGUCGUCCGUGAUGAGUACCUCCAAUCUAGAGAUGUAACCUGCAGGCAAUAAUAAUUUGGCCCUCUGAAAGGCUACCUCUGAGAGCAUAUCUGCUGCUAAGGUGUUGCACCCACACACUUGCAGUUCUCUGAGGUUGACUGCGAUGAGAGGAUUGAAUCCAUCCACUGUUAAAUUACCGCACUCCUCUAGCUUUAGAGUGGUGAGAGACGUGAGGUUUGAGAGCAGAGCCAUUGACUUCAUGCUUGCCUCUCCUUCGACAUCAAGUUCCCUCAGGGAAGCAGGGAAAGGGCAAAUGGUCUCUGAUUCUCCCUUUCCCAUGGGCCACCCACAGAAAAAUCGACCACAAUUGAAUAUUGUUAAUGAUUGGAGCAAUGAGUUGUCCUCCCGAAUUCCUCCUCCAUUCUCCUUCUCCACAGGCACAAGAACCAGGCCCUUGCAGCAUGAGAAGUUAACUUUCUGCAGUGAGCUGGAUGAUGGGAACUGCAUUACACAUUCCUCCUCACAGUGAUCUAUGUGCAACACAGAAAGAGCUGGGAAACAGUUUAACACUUUUGACGAUGAUGAUUUGCUGCUGGUAAGAUGAGAUACAUGUAAUGUGAGAUUCUUAACUGAACGGAAGACAAAACCGCCAUCCAAAUCUUCAGGGAACAAACCGUCGCAUCUGUUGACAAUCAUAUCUUCUACUUUAUCCAGAUUGUGGGAGGCCAACGCACCGCCAUACUCUCUAACAGCCAAUCUCUUUCCAUCAUAACGCAACCUUUCGGAAUCACAUCUUCCUACAUCACAACUUGUCAGUGUGGAUGUGUGAGGCAUGGACGGCAGAGACAUCUUGGGGCACCCAGAAACAAAAAGUCUGCGCAAAUUGGUGCAAGACACCUCAGAGAAGGGCAUCACACUGAGGUUGGGACAAUCGAUGCAUUCGAUUGUUUCAAGACUUGGAAACGAAUGGCAAUUAGGUUCCACAACCCAUUCAGCAAGUUCUGGCAUCUCAUAAAACCCAACUUCCUUCAAGCGCAUAAAACAUUUCCCUGGAGCGCCACCACAUAGAGGCCCAAACUGAUGCAUUCCAGAAAUUUUAUUCAAAUAGAGGCCCUUGAGAUUUGGUAGCUUCGCAAAGGGUGGGAGGUUGCUCCAAGAUACGCCUUCUAGAGUGAGAGUCUCUAGACUUGUCAACCAGAUGUCAAGACACAACCAGCUAGGACCAAUCAUACCACCAUGAUUUGCAAUUGUAAGUACUCUAAGAUUAGAGUGUGGUUGAAGAGCAUCAAGAAUACCAGCAUCUGUAGUUGGGCCAUCUCGGCCUGACCAGAGUAAUUCCAAUUUCUUCAGAUUCCUUUUCAAUAUCAGUUUGGCUGCAGUAGCCUCCUCCUUGGUUGCCACGUGUUCAAGACCACGUACAGUCAGUUCUUCUUCAAGCUCUGACAAUGCCCCAAGUUCUGACAGUUCAAAUCCCAUGCUCUCCUUCCUGACAUGGAAUUCUUUUAGCUCCUGCAGAUGCUUCAUCUCUCCGACAUCGCGAAUAUUGCAGUGAAGUUGACUUCCAGCACGGAAAUCAUGUAAAUUCUCAAGGUGGCUAAAGUCUGCAGGUAAAUCAGAACGACCAUUCCAAUCAUCUAGGUCCAAGAAUUUCAAGUGAUAAAAUCUUGAUAGUGUACUAGGCAAACUCAUUUCCCCGUCACUGUAGAAAGAUGAACUAAUUUUGAGGUGCUGGAGGUGGAUCAGUUUUGAAAACCUAUAUGGAAAACAUUGCGCAGACUUCACCACUGUAAAUAGGACACGCAGACUAUUUAUUUCCUUGAAGCUAUCUUUUAGAAGCUUGUUGAUUCUUUCUUCUUCAUAUCCUCUAAAAGUCAUCAAACUUCGCAGAUUAGCAAUGUCUAUCCUCUCCCUCAGUUUACACAUUUCUUGCUCAAAAUUUGCAUCAUAUCUGUCUUCUAUGUUGAUAGAUAAGUGUCGAACAGAUUUUGGGACAACAUCAGCUCUGAAAUCUAGGCCACUUAUAUUGAGGCAUUCUUGUGCAGAAACACUCUUAGAUAGCUCAUGCAUUAAAUCAUGCAUUACAUAGCAAUCAAUUUCCUUCUUUUGUUUGUAUCGAUCAUGAUCCAAAUAAUACUUUUUCUUCUUCAUGAGAAAACCAUUGUCCACUAGUUCUUCCAGGUAAUUCCUAUUGGCUUGGUGAUCAGAGUCUAUGAUGCCUAUUGCAACCCAGAAAUGAUUGAUUUCUGAAGAAGUAAACGGAUAAUCUUCAGGGAAAAGGCCACAAUAGGAAAAACAUUUCUUCAGAUCAAAAGGGAGGCAAUUGUAGCUGAUCUUUAAAGAUGGCAUGAUAUCAUCAUUGUCUUGCUGCUUUAGCCACUGAUGCUUUUCAAGAACUCCACUCCAAUGUUCCUGAGAAAGGUGCUUAUGCAGUAGCUUACCAACUGUUUUGGCUGCAAGCGGGGAACCCUUUAGCUUGUUUGCAAUUUUUCGUGCAAUACCAGCAAACUCAUCUUGGUAAUGCUCGGGCUUUUCUUCUUCACCAAAUAUACAUGCUUCAAAGAAUGUGAAGAAGUCAUUAGACUCCAAACCUCGUAGCUCUAGUGGAUCAACUGUUUUCACCAUGUCUGCUACCUUUGGGAAUCGAGUUGUGACAAGUAGCAUACUUCCUUUGCUUUCCCCCUUUGUGAACGGAGCUACCAGGGUUUUCCACUGAUCCUGACUGUCACAUUUCCAUAUAUCAUCCAAGACAAUUAGAAACCUCUUGGACUUGAGACGUUCUGCUAUGGAUUUCUGAAGCUGGUCUAAAUUGGCUGUUUCAUUUGCAACACCGCUGCUACCUGCUCCUUCAGUUGCAAGUAUGCAGCCAAGGAUCUCCCUGGUGAGCUUAAGCACAUCGAAAUCAGUGGAUACACAUACCCAAACCCUGACUUGGAAGUGGUCUUGAGUCCUUGCGUCAUUGUACAGGUGAGUGGUGAAAGUUGUCUUUCCAAUACCCCCUGGACCAACUAUAGGAAGAACAGAAACAGUCUCAGUGUGUGUGACAGUGGUGAUACGGUUGACAGUUUCCUCAAAAGUGUGUCUCCUGCCAUACAAUGUAUCUUGUAUAAUCAUGGAAGCUGUCUGAGGCCGAUCUUGGACGACUGCCACUGCCCUGCUGCUGCUGGUUGGGAUAGUGCAAAGCAAAUUGGAGACGGAAUCACAGUGGGACUGCAUGUCCUGUAACACGGACUUGAUUUCUCUGGACAUGAACACUCUGUCAAAACGCGGUGUAUCACCAUCAUCAGCACUAGCAGAGUUGGAGUUGGAGUUGGUGAGUCCGGCAGCAGCAGCAGCAGCAUCACCACCAACGCCGGCAACAGCAACAGCAGCAGCAUUCCUCUUGCUCUUGGGUGCACAGGAGCAAGAAAAGCAGUGGAGCAAGGUGCUCUUGGUGACGCGGCGUGGUGCAACAGCAGCAGCAUCAUCACCUCCAUCCCUCUUGGUCUUGGGUGUAGGCGAGCAAGAAAAGCACUGGACUAAGCUGCCUAGGGUGUGGCGAAGAGCAGUACCGGCGUGGAGAGCUUGAUGGUGGACAAGGCUGUCCAGAUCCGGGCCGGCCUCUUGGGUGGUGGUGGCAUAGUUGGUGCCGUGGAGCCUGUCAUGGAUCUGGAAGUAGUGGACCUCAUCCAGCAGGUCCUCUGCCUGGUCGGCGUCCCUGCUCAGCUUCUCCAGCAACCCCUGCAGGCCAGGGUUAUGGCUCCCCUGCCCCUGGGCGUUGUGCAGCAGGCCUUGCGCGUGCAGCAGCUUAUCCCUGAUCUGCUGGGAGUUGUGGCCGAGCUGGAGGCUGUCCACGUACGCCGCCACCACGGUGUCGGACAGCGUCGUCCACACCUUGCCGAGGACCGAGGCCGCCGAGCCGAGAGCCACCUCCAUCGAUCUGCGCUCCGCCUCGCCGGAGCAGUGGUGGAAGGAAGCAGCAGAAAGCGCAGCUACUAGUGGCGAAGAGCGGCGUGGCGUGAGUGUGUGGCGUUGAGCGGGGAGCGGCGACUGGUAGUGGUAGCAGGAGCUGGGCGGCGUGGGCGUGGCGAUGGUAACGUGGGGUGGCGGCUGGGAGCUGGCCGGCGUGGCGAUGGUAGCAGGAACGCUAUGAAACUAGGUUUCGGUGGGUGCUUUGGGCUUGGUUGUGUGCAGCGAUUUAACCAUUUUUACGGGGUUGUGGCUAUACUAUUUGAAAUCUUUGCAAGAAAUGACCAUGCUCCACUCGAUCUGAUGUCCUCAACACAUUAAUUAGGUUAUCCUGAUCCAAGCUAAAGGAAAAGCAUAUAUGGCUCUUGGAAUCUUGAAUCUUAGUUUACAAACUCUUCCAUCUUAUCUCUUGUCCUCCUAUGUCUAAGCGUUGAUGCAUGUGCUGUCACACACGUGAAUCCUGGAGCUUUUCAUUGGGUAUACCGCAGGCAGGCAUAUAAAAAGUGGAGAGUUCAUCAAUUUGUUUAUUUUUAUUUUUUACAAUUUGACCAAUAUUAUACAGUAGAGCUUGUUGAUUUUUGUGUUGAACUGACAGCCUUCACAUGCUGUGCCGUGGUUCGUGCAUGAAUCAAUGUGAUUAGGGGCACAGUUUAAACCUUGAGGCACAACUACUAGUACUGUAUUCAUAAACCCAUGCUUUCACCUAAUCGGUGAAUUUCUUGACAUAUAAGUACUACAAUUGAUAACUUUAACCAAGAUCGAUGCGCGUGGUAGCAUAGGAGAGUACAUGACAAAGGCAGUACUCGUACGUUGUUUUGUAGUAUAUAUAGUAGUAUAAGAGCAACUUGUUGUUCGAGAUGCCUUUGAGAAAACUCAAACCAGACCAGGACUAGCGCACACAUAAAUUAGCUUGAUUGAUUCUCCAAAAAAGAAAAUAAUUGACAGCUGGUCCUUAAUAAUGUUAUAACAAAAGAUAAGCACAACAGUUGUAGCAGGAACAACACCAACCAUCAAUGAGGGCAACCCCAGGUGGUAACAUGAAAGAUGCUUCAACAACAAUGCCUCUAGAAAGGGGACGACAAAGGAACACCGUUGUCGCGGGACCUAAUCACUGCUUGAAGGCUGACUGAAGUUGCAAGAGGAUAUAUUCAGAACAGGUGUAGAUGACACAUCAAUAAAAACGGUAAAAUUAUCUAUGUGUCACAAACUCUUAUCCAGUAAAGUAAUCAUAUACAUGUUUCUAUAAUGAGAAUAGAACUGACAGCCAGCGACCACCUUCACUUACCGGCAGCAAGUUCUUCUACCUUAAUUUUCCCAAACUUGAAAUUAACUUUCUAGAAAAUCUGAGUGCAAUGCUUGAAACAAAGCAAAUGGGCAGUUAAUGGAGAAAUCGGCAACUAAAACGGUAAGGAAGAAACAUUCAAUCAUUCUAGCUUCUCCCUCAGUUAUUAAUUCUGAUUUCGAAUCAGCACCGAAAGUUUUUUUUUUUGUAUUUGGACUUUCUUUUAGUUAUUCCAAAGAUUUCAUGGUAUUCUAAAAAUAAAUAUUUAGCCAAUACUUUUGAGAAUAUCCCCCCACCCCAUAUUGAGGAAUCAGCGACAGACAAAGAUCAAAUUUGAAAGAAUAACCCCACACCCACAAGUCCACUAAUGGCAAGACUGCUAACAGAAAUAUUUGUGUGAGGAUUGGGUUGAAGGGAGAAGGAAGCUUCGUGGCAGCUUCUUCCUGCGUACAUCGUAGUCCUUUCUGGAAUGCAUUCAAAAGUAUGAAGAUAGCAUUAAGCUAUGUACACACUGAUGCCUUCACACAAAUACUUGAAGAAAGGAUGUGUCUGCUCAAAGACAGGCUCCCUAUAUGCCUGCACUCUUACAAUUCACAAACACAGCAAUAUUAAAGUGCAAUUGAGUGGUAUGUGUAAAGUGCAACUAAAUAUGUAAACUAAGUGCCACUCAUGGCUCCUUAUCCAAGCUAUUGUUCUCUCUUUCUACCACGAGAGUAUUGCUGUGUUUAUGAGCCAUGAGAGUAUAGAGGAUGUGAGUUGUGUUUUUCUCCUUGGUUCUGGAGGAAAAGAUAAUGGUAUUUUUGUGUAGGGGUAGGUGGAAAAGACAGCUCCCUCAAGGAAAGUUGCUUGAGCCUUGAGCCUUGAGCCCAUCCAACUGGGAGAGACACUACUCUGAGUUAGCUAGCUCGAAUUUCUUUUUAGCAGGUGGCAGAUUUGAUUAAGCCAGACAACUUGCUAGCUUUGUAAGUAGUAUUGUAUUUGGUUAGGCUACUAUGUCUCGUCUGGCCGGCGAUGACCAAACCCAGAUACCCACUCGAUCAUUUGUUCCUUUGGUGCUCGAGGUGGUGGGAGAUGGAGUCCUUUUUGGCUUUUUUGCAUAACAGAAAUGGCAGAUAUUGGUGUGCUAGAACUAUAUGUAUGUAAGUAUUCUUCAUGAGGCAUAUAUAUUCAAUCCUUGGUUCCGAAAGAGAGAUGGCACUUAACUCGAGUACCCAUUGCCCAUCGGACAUGGCUAACGGCGUUUAGUCUUUUCAAUAUUGUAUAAGUUGGGCUAGUUGUGAGCUAAAGUGAGCCCAAUCUGUGCAUCAACGAACAUCGACAUGGAAAGGCAUGACUGAAGUUGCAAGAGGAUAUCAUAUAUAUAUAUAUAUAUAUAUAUAUAUAUCUACUCCUAAUGGAGCAGUUGGUGAAUAGUCUGCGCGGUUUAUUUCCGCUGGUUUUUUUUCGUCAUCCUCCCACCUCUGGUUUUUUUUCGUCAUCCCACCUCCGUUAACUCGCAACCCACCCGCAAAAAAACCGUGCCAGAAAACCCUACGAUCGAUGCCUCCAACCCCCAACCUCCUCCCUGGCUCCCGGUGCCGCCCGCCCCCAUCUCCUCCCCGAUCCCGGCGCCGCCCGCCCCCAUCUCCUCCCUCACUCCCGGUGCCGACCCCGCCCGCACCUUCUCCCUCACUCCAUAGCCCGCGCCCGCGUUCUUCCUCCCCCAUCUCGUCUCAUCUCCGGUCGCUGCAGAGGAGCCUCAGCCCCCAAUACGAGCCGCCGCCGAGAUCCAAGACGAGCCCCGCUGAGAUCCGAGUCGAUCCGCCGCCGCCGAGGACCGAGUGGAGCCGCCGCCGGCGCUGGCCAGGCUCCCCACGAUGUGCGCGCCGGGGCGCCGCUCCCGCUCCCGCAGCCGAGCAUAGCAGCAGCGGCGGAGCCCUGCCGCUGGCGAGCUCUCUCUGGCGGAGGAGGGCGGGGGCGAGCUCACCGUCUCCCUCGCGCUCAACGCCAUGGAGAAGACGCCGCCAUCUCUGCUCUUCUCCCUCUCCUCUAGGGUUUUGGCGCCGCCAUCUCCGCACUUCUAGAAAGAGAUCGGGAGAGGCUGAGCCCAGAGCUAGAUGAAGGAGAAGAGAAUGUCCAUGGAUCAUUAAGGGGCGGCGGCGAGACGAGGCUGAUGAAGGUGUUCGUAGGUGGCCUGGCGUGGGAGACGAGCAAGGAGGGCAUGCGCGUCCACUUCGAGCGCUUCAGCGAGAUCCUCGAGGCCGUCGUCAUCGCCGACAAGGGCACCGGCAGAUCCAAGGGCAGCAGAUUCGUGAGUACUCACCCAAACAAUUCUCUCUUCCGCUCAUCAUCGAUUGAUCUUCAGUAGUUAAUUCUCUUGAUUAAUUAUUCAGUCCUGUUAGUUGAUGCUAUGCCUGAAUGGAUCCUUGGUAAGUUACGUUCUGGAGGCAGAGGCGGACAUCAAGACAUGGUGAAUGACGUCCAGAGGGCCAACUGCAACCUCGCCUACCUUGGGAUCCAGAGGUCCAAGGCACCACAACCAACUGCCUCUGCAUCCAUAUUCUGGUAAUUUAUUAGUUCGAUGCUUUGAUUUGCUAUUACUGAAUUAUAUGAUUAGUUAGUGAGAAUUAAGUGCUAGGCCCGUCUUAGUUUGAUUGUUAGUCGUUGACCAUGUGCAGUCAAUUAAUUAGAUGCUUUCAUUAACUUCUAAUUUGCUGAAUUAUUAUUGGUUAAGCACCGUGCAGGUAUUCAUUUGAUUGUUAGUCAUUGACCAUUAGCAUCAAGCUAGCUAGGUGUGCGUGCAUGCUACACACACACACACACACAUAUAUAUAUAUAUAUAUAUCAAUUGUUGCAAGUUACAAUCAUCUGCCAACUCUCUUUUCAGAAAAAAAUAUGCCAACUUAAUUAAUCAAUCAUGUCGAAUUGUAGACGCAGUGACCAGACGAUGCAAAGUUCCUGUUUAGUUUGACAUUUUUAGUAGAAGGUUUAGUGUCAAUCUAGAUUUGCUAGGACUAAUUUGAAAACUACCGGUGUUAUAGAUUUGCUAGGACUAAUUGAUCUGCUUGCAUGCCUAAUGCCCUUUGUGAUGUUUUCCACUGUCAAGAUUACACUUCUAGAAAAUGUGUUUAUUUUGUUAGUUUCAAUCUAUAACAAAAUCUGAUUUGAUUCCACUCUGGACAAUCUGCAAACAGAUGCUAAUUCUCCAUGAUUAUUAACUUGUCCGAAAUCUUAAUUCCGUCUUUCCUAUUGCAGGUUUAUUUCAGUUUAGUGUGGUAAUCGGCAGCAACCAAGUUAACAAAUCUUAACUGAAGUAUGUGUUUUAAAUCUUCGGUGGUGAUUUUUUUCUUGUGAGUAGACCAAUACAAACUGAAGUAUGUAUUCUGAAUUUUGUUCAUGUGACUAGAUGCAUAUGAACUGAACUACUGAAGCUCUGUUAUUCUUUCUAAGACGACGAUGGUCGCAACUCCAUCUAAACUCGAAACAGAUAUCGGCCAUCUCUUAUUCUUUCUAAAUCUUAACAGAGGAAAAUUUUCACAAGCUUUAGAUGGAGUCUGGCGUGUUAUUCGAAUUUGAUUCAGAAUAGAAACAGAUAUCGCAAACUUGAAUGUACUAACGUGACACGAUUCAGAUUGCAUUGGCUGACAUAUGUAAUGAUCUUCAUAUAAAAGGGAAAAUUAAAUCAAUCACAUGUACCUCCGGGUUGCCCGACGCAAAUGUUUGAGAAGCAGUACAUGAGAUUGCCGAGGAAAGCUAUUAAGAGAAGCAUACAAAUAUACUAAGAUGACACCUGAUUCUCUAGGUGUGCAUGACAUACUGAUCAUCAUUUGAACUAAUCUAUGAUCUUGUUUGCAAUUUCAGGGUGGUGUAGCAAGCAAGCAAGAAUUGGAGAGGUAUCAUUAUGAGCUAAUCUGGACCAUGUACAGAGUUGACAAUAGUUCAAAAAAUAUCUGUUCACUGAAGGUUGAUCUGAGUUCCACUAUUCCAAUUCACAUGUACAUUGUUCUGCAUUUUCUACAGUCUUCGGUGCAUGCUUGGAGAAGAGGCUAAGAUGAGAGGCUUCAAUCUGGAGAUGACAAGGAUAGUCACCUGGUGCAACUAAAGGUUCGGUUUCAUACUUGUGAAGUUGUGAUGAUAUUGUUCAGGUAGUACUCCCUGACUGAUUUCACUUGUACUAUUUCUUCACAGAAGGUACUAAAAUAUCUUGUCAUACUAAUAUUUAAUUUCUACUGAUACUUUGUGAGAAUACUCAGUUUCCUUAUACUAAAAUAUACCUGUUUACUUUUGUACUGAAAUGUACCUUCUUACAAAGAUUUCAUAGGAAGGAGGAGGUUAAGGGAGCAAAAGGCAUGUGGAGACAGGAGCCAGCUCAAGGAGAAGUUAACCCAUAAAUUACUUAAAUAAUAAUUUAAUAAACCUCUGAUUUACCUACAGAAUAAAAGGCCUAUGAUGAAAGAAUAGCAUCCAGAAAAAAUACAACUAGAUAACGGGACAAUUUCAUAUGGGAGAAUGACAAAUUAGAGAGCUUAAACAUUAAGUUGCCUCCAAAGCUUUGCAAACCGCAAUGGUACAAAACUAAGUUCAGUUCUUACUGGUUUCUUACUGCAUGAAGAACUCUCGUCGUUACCAUUUUCCAAACCUGUAGCAAGCAAUGCAUUAGAUGACAAUUCAAAUUAUUGGACACCAAGACUGCUGAGAAGCAUUAUUGUAACAAACAUGGAAAGAGCUUACAUCCAUGACAUCAUCAUCCCCAUGCCUCUGACUUUUAUCCCUUUGUUCAGGUGUCAAGUAGUUGGCCAUUUGGCGGAAGUCAGGUCCAGGGGGAGACUCCGGUGUCCAGGAACUCUGCCCAGGAAAGAUGUCAAUCAUAAGUUCCAGGUAAAUUCCACUAACCAACCCUUUGCACAAAGAAUUUCUAGAAUUGAUAAGAAAGUGAAAAACAGGUGCUCAGGCAAGUAGUAACAUACAAGGCACACGAUGGAAGAGAUGGCGUUCCCAGAGAUGUGAAUCACAUGGGUGCGGCAUCAAGAAUGGUGAGAAGUCUGUGAACUUGUUCGUCCUCCAUGUAGACCCAUCCUUCAAAAACAAUGUUUUUUACAGAUCAGCAUAAGAAGCACCAGUUAUAGCUUGACCACAACAUGGAGAAGAAAACUUUAUUUGACUUAAGAAAUCAUUUCACUUCGGUGACACAAUGUGAAAUCUCCAAACAGUCCAACAAGAUCAGAUACAUAAAAGACUAUCUUUCCCGACACCAUACAUCUUUAAUCUUACAACACUGAUUCAAUCGAAUAAUAUCCUUUGUUCUUCAAGCAUUUUCCUUUCUUUUUCUUUUGAUACUAUCUCCAAACUUUGUGACAACAUGAUCAGAUAUUAUCACAUAGUAGAGAAAAUCUAACAUAUAUUUGCUUGGAUUACCUAGAUGCAAAGUAGAAUCUGAACUGGAAGACACAUCCACACCUGAUCGUGUGGUACCAGGAAAUUACCGAAACUCUUUCACGCCAAGAAAAUAAUUUAAGCCAUGAAACGAAUACUCAAUGUGACUGGAUGUUGAGCUUUGCCCACCUAAUUUUGGGAUGGUCACCCAACUCUUUCACGCUGAGUUGCAACAAGAAAAUAUAUGACCAAGAACAUAACUGAAGAAGUGUGAUUAAGGGGGAGCUUUGGAAUAGAUAAAAGCAGUCUCAAGCACCAAUAGGAUAUGAAAAUAGCAAUGCUCACCCAGACUCAUCUCUUUGGUUCUAACAGUUGCAUAACUCUAGGGGUCCCUAACGGCUCUGUACAUCCCAGUCAUAGUGAAAUUUCAGUUUUCAGUUCACAAACAUCUUUCAGAGAAGUAACAUUACCACACAUGGCCAUUGCUAAACUGAAAAUGAACCUGAGGAUUGUCCAAGGUUCCACCAAAUACACAAACGACACCUGAACAGGUGCGGAAGGGCGCAGAUCAGUAUGGCCCGUGUGGGGUUCGGGGAUUACCAUUUUUGCGAGCUCUGCGAGGACGCUGGAGGCGCGGUCGGCGUGGCGUCACGAGAAGCAGUGGUGGAUGGCGUCGACUUGCGUGCGGACCUCGCGGGCGACCGCCUCCUGGGAGUGGCGGCAGAAGAUCUCGGGGCCGAAGGAGCCCUCGUCGUCCUUGUCGUCUUCAUGGGCAUCGGCGUUUCCGAGCGGCGACGAGACGACGGCGGCGGCGGCCAAGACAGACUGCGCUUCUGUGCCUUGCGUCGCGAGCGCUGGGGUGCUUGUCGAAGGCGGGGGAGGGGGGAGGGCAGAAGCAAAGAGGUGGGCCGGUUCAGGGAGAGGAGGGCCCGGACGGCGCCGUCGAGGGGAGGGGAGGCGCCAUGGAUGGGAGUAGCUGUGAGGGGAGAAGGUGAGAGGAGCGGCUCUGAGUGGAGAAAGUGAGUGGCUGUACUGUGAGGAUAAGUUUUUUUAGUUUGUGAAAAAUUUGGUUUGUCUCACUUUUAUUUACAUGUUUAUAAUAUAAAAUGUCAUUUAUAUGUUUAUAUAUUUAUAUGCUUCAGAUUUGUGGAUAAGUGUUUCAACUGAUGGAUCCGGAUGAAACUUUCAAAAUGUCGACUGACACUGCCAUUGAUGUAACGAUAUCAUCAAGUUUUACUCAACUACCAGAUGAGAUGCAUACAAAUAACUAUUCUUUUUUGUAUGUGUGGUGCACACGAUAACGUAAAGGGUGUAUUUUUAUAUAUGUUUAUUUUUGAAGAAUGAGAUGGAUUAUGUCGAUGUUUAAAAAGAAUCCAUCGACAAGGGUCCCGAGGCGACGUCGUUCGGAGGAGACGAAAAUUCAGCGAGUUUUAUAGAGAGUGAAAAGCGUGCAAGCGAGGAUAGCCCAUAAGAACAUUAAAGGCAAAAUAAAUAAAUGUUACCCAUGGGAUAUUAUUUUAUUGUGAUUACCGUGAUGUUCUUUCAUCCAUUUUUUUGUAUUCAUGUGAUUUGGCUCAUUGUGAUAUCAUAACGGCAGAUUAUGUCUGCACCCCUAAAGAUAUUACCAUCAUUGAAUCAAUCAUGUAUGUUAUAAAAAAGUUUGCAAAACAUUAACAUUGCCAGUGAAAUGGAUUCAAAUUAUUUUCCAUUUGUUAUCUUUUAUAUACAUGCAAAUUUUAACACCUGUUAUGUUUAUAUAUAAUACCGGCAAAAUAUUUAAAUGGCCGUGGUGAGUAUUCUCCAUUACACAUUUUAAGACCUUCAACAUGAAGUAUUCGUGUUAACUACAUAUAUUGCUUGUGUAAGAUGGUUAUGAGUUGAGGAAGAAGUUUUUAUUAUGCUUGCUCAAAUAUCAUCCAAAUAAAGCUAAAAACAACAUUGCUGAUAUUGUGCGAGAAUUUCUUAAUCGAAUCAAGAAUACCUUAAUUAGUAACAGAUUCUUAGUCGUUGGAUCAUCGCUCUUAUGUAUGAAUCAUCAAUUUGCUUUUAUUAUCUAUUUACAUUGCAAGUAAAGUGGACUUCAAUUAUUACGCGAUUGCACCCGUGCUAUUGUGUCUUUAUUACAUGUAAAAUUUAACAUGUGUUUAUAUAACUCCAGUGAAAUAUUAUCUAUUUACAUUUGAAAUUAAUUUAUUGUACUGAUUAUUCAGAACAUGAGUUUUAGAUUUUGUAGUCCAAAAAGAUGAUAAUGAAAUUGAGAGAGGAGAGUAUGCCUAGGAUCUAUGAACAUGAGGUGUGACAAGAGAUGGUAUGACUUCUUCAGAGAACCAUCUUGAUCCUUCUUUUUUCUUCAUAUAUGGCCAACCAUUGAUUAUUGUGGUGCGGAAGCUCGUGAGCGCUAGAGAUUGUGGCACUAUUUAGAGGGUUGGGCGGCAACUCGGGCAGACGGAGGUAGUGCGUGACAACAUUUGCUGACUGUUGAUGGUGGAGGCAAGCGGCUUCGUAGGUAGAGGUGGGCGGGUGAAUAGACUGGACGAAGAAAAAGGUAUGCAGAGGGAGGAAGAAGAGUAGUAGCAGCAGCGGGUGUUGGCGGCGGAGGAGAGGCAAGGGGUUAGCGGUCUCGAGUGCGGGGUGCGGGAGGUCGUGGGCACCAAAAUGGUGGUAGGUUUUAGAGGAACGACUAGCGUCAGCGUUGACGGAGGUGGUGACUUGAGCAAGUGGCGACGUGUGGCAACACUCGCCGGCUGUAGGGUGGCGGUGGUAGGUGCUUAGGCUGGGAGAGGCGGGCGGGUCGAUAAAGUGGUCAAAUAAAAAAUCUGCGGCUACGGGAGGAAGACGAAGAAUUAGAGGCAGGUCAUCGUUGGAUGAGAAGGGGCAGGGGAUUAACGGAUUUUAAGGCGGGGUACAGGAUAUCUCAGGUGGCGGAGAUGGUGGUGGUGUUUAGAGGGAUAGCCGACACAUCAUGUUAGAGCAUUUCGUUUGCACCAUCCAUCCCGAACAAUCACGGAAAAUAGAAGAAAUUGCUGGAACUAUGUUAUAAAGAUCUAUUUGGGUGAAGAGAUGAGGAAUAAUGUAGUUCAUGACGGUCAUUUUCAACGUCUACAUAUUUUCAGCCUUGUCGGCACAUGAACACAUAGAGUGAGGGGUGCGUGGGUUGAAAGAGUGAGAGGGCUGGUUGUGGUGAGAGAGUGACUGAGGUCAGAAUAAGGCUAGGCGGUAAGCUAAAAAAACUGGAUAGACAACAUUUCUGAUUGUGAGAGAAUUUCUUAAGUGCAUCAAGUAAAUUUUAAUUUGUAACAUAUUUUUAGUUAGAUAAUCGCUCUAUAUGCAUACAUCGUCAAAUUAUUUUUUUAAUCAAUUUACAUUGCAAGUAAAGUAGACUUCAAUUAUUACCCAAUUACGCCCACGCUAUCUUUUCUCUACAUGUGAAAUUUAACUUGCGUUAUGUUUAUAUAACUUCAGCAAAAUAUUUCAAAAGCCCGUGGCAACGCACGGGCAUUAUACUAGUGUAUAUAUAUUCAGAACAGGUGUAGAUAAUAACCAUACAACGAAAGUAAAUACAGUAACAAGAUUUCGAGAGUACCUUGAUUCUUACUUUUCAAAAUCUAAACGCAGAUGCUGUCCCGGAUGUUAUCAUCUCCUCGAUAGAAAUGCUCAUUAGCAAUUAAUCCUUUAAAAAGUCGCCAAUAUAAUUAAUCUUGUCUUGCUGCUGCUGCAGCUGAUGAAUUUUGUAGCAGAUCCAUCCAUCCAUCUGAAUCUGAAUCUGAAAGAAAGAAACCACUGAGAGGCAACAAGUAGGAGUACAAGAAGAAGGCACAUGGGGCGAACUCAUACCUGAUUGAUUGGAUUGGAUUGGAUUGGAUUGAGCUAAACCCACAUUGGAGAGGAUGAGGCACCGCAGCUUCCUCAUUGACCGGGGCACCUCCGCCGCCGCCCCCAUCCCACUCUCGCCGCCGGUGGCUCAUCGACGACCGCCUCCCGGAUAAGCCCAGAUCCGCCGCCGGCAUGUCGUCGAUGGCGAGGUUGCCUCUUUCGCUUUUUUUUUCGAGGACAAAUGAAAAAUCCGACUUGAUUGAAAACCUUUAUGUUUUUUCUUAGCAUAGAAAAUGUUUAUGUGUUUUUUAAACAAAAUGUUUAUGUGUUGAUGAUGCCACAAGUAUUGAUACACACCCCAGAUUUCUCGGAAGAAAAACAGUAAUCCACCCUCACAAAACACACAUCAAUUCACUUAUAAUACAAUUGGAUCUUCAGAUUCACACUGUUGUGUUGGUUAUUUCUUUUCUUUGAGCAUCCACUGUUGUGUUGGUGGGUGUACACCGGCAGCCUCCGCAUGUGUUGUUGGUGCUCUGUUGCAGUGGGCUUCUUUGUUUGUGGGUUGGCUCGUAGGUGGUGGUGGUGUUUUGGCGGACUUGUCAACACCGUUGUUUUGUAUGCUAAAAAAAAACUGUUGCUUUGUACAUGAGCUUGUGUAAAGACCCUAUCUGGGCCUUGGGCAUGUGACCAGUGAUGGCGGCGGCUACGGGCAUCGUUGAUGUUCUUGGAGGCAGCAUUGUUGCCACCCCCUCUUCAGGGCCGGGCGGACAAAAUCUGAGGCCAUGUGCGAAACUGAUAAAUGGGGCUCUAUCUCAUUAAAAAAAACUAAGUAUCAACAGACUGAUUACCGGACGACACCGGCGGUGCUUCUUUUCUAACAUAUCUAUCCAUUCCACCUUUAUAAGAUUUAUCAAUUAAAUUCUGUUCUUUUUCUUUCCUCUUGUGCUUAGAGGAACCAGACUGAUGUUUCCCCAAAGUGACUCCAAAAUGUAUUAUUGAAAUACAAGAUACAAAAGAUGAAUAAAAUACAAUUGAACAGUAGCAUAUACCAAUAAGUUUAUGCGUCAAUGUUUGGCAAUUAGACGAACCACCUAACUUACCUAGUUCUCACCUAGUUUGGGUCAUGUCCGCUUGACUCACCUAGUUUUGGGUCCUUGUCCGGUUGAACUGCUACAUUGUGAGUGUGAUCUUUAGCCGAGGAGGUAAGUGGAACCCGCGGAAGAUGUCGGUGUUGGCAUUGAGGCUGAGCGAAGUCUGAGGUGUGGCAACAAUUGCGGUAGUGUGCCAAUGACUCUCCCUUUUUUGUCUGAUAUGAAAUACUAUCAGAGAAGGUGUGGCAAUAAUUGCAAAGUUUGGUGGUCAAAUAACAUUCGAGGAGCUCUGUACAAAAAAGACAACUUUGCAAGCACCCAUAAUUUGUUGAUGAUCAUUCAAACAAAGUUUUGGAUUUUUUUGAAAUAUUUUGCUAUGUUUUCUUGCGUGGGUGCACCGUGGGUGCACUGAGUUGUGUUUCAGCCACUACUUUCCCUUCUCUACACAAGUGAGAUGGACAUUGCAGAUGUGAGCCCAUGGUGAUGUAGGGUGGAACCCUAGGGGGCGAUCUUUCACGAUUUGGAGGGGGGUCCCCGAAGAACACGAUGAACACACAAGAGGAAAACACGAGGAGAACGAGACGGAACACUCAAAUCAACGAGAAAUAGUCACACAUGUGCUACAUCCACAUACACAUAGAUGUAACAAAGAUCAAAGGACAACAAGGGAAGAUGCAAGGGUGUAACUAGCUCAUCCCAAUCCUAUGAGGAGAGAGGUCUUAAAUCCAUAUAGGAUCUUCCCACAAGGGGGGUCUUGAAUCCACUUGGGGGAUCUUCUCCUAGGAAGCCUUGGUCUCCAAUGGAGUAGAAGUGGAUGAGCAAAGCUCUAUCUCAACAAUGAGCUAUCACAAUGCCAACCCUAGAAGGAGGAGGAGGAGGACAUCUAUAUAUAGUCAAGUACGGAGGUGGGAUGAGUGGGAGAGAUACAUGGGCCUUCGGCCCGUUCACUGUGCGCAGACAUGUGCCGAAUGUCCGAGCUGGCGGGGGCCGAUUUCGGUUGCUCUAUGGAUAUGGGGUGUCGGAUUUCCGGGAGGGGGGCGGAUGUCCGGGCUCUAGCCAGAUGUCCGGGCCCUGUAGCUUCGGCUGCUGGGUUGUUUCUAUGGCAGAUUAUCUUCAAGGGUCAGAUGUCCGGAUCCUGUAGACUCCUUCCGGUUCCUUUUGUCGGUCCUCUUCAUCCAUGUACUUGGGGACUUGUCCAUCGUCACGAGCAUCUCCGAGAGCGUCUUCUACGUACCUAAUCACACAUAGCAUUCCGGCUUUAGGUAGCUAGUAGCCAUGUCUUGCUUGGGUCAUACGAAAUAUCACAAAGGAGAGAUGUCACCUCGGUUUCUAGAGAUCUUCCACGUGCUCAUGUCAUCGGUCCACUUGGCACUUGGUGAGAUGUCGAUAGGUCCAUGGGCAUGUCCAUAGGAUGCUCCGCAUCAUCUCCCCCCACCCCCUUGGGAAAGAUCCGACCUCGGAUCGAAAAACUCAUCACCAUGAAAAGGGAGAUAGGUCCGUGACGUUGAAGAUAUCGCUCACAUUGUACUUGUCGCGUGGUAUGUCGAUCUUGUAGGCGUUUUCAUUGAAGCGUGCUAGCACCUUGAAGGCUCCAUCGGCAUGAGAUAGUAGCUCGGACUUGCGCUCAUUGGGGAAGUGGUCUUUGCGAAGGUGUAGCCACACAAGAUCUCCGGGGUUGAACACCGUGGGAUGCUUGGUGAGGGUGCGUGAUGACCCACAAGUAUAGGGGAUCAAUCGUAGUCCCUUCGAUAAAUAAGAAUGUCGAACACAACGAGGAGCGGAAGAAAAUGAGAAGCGGUUUUCAGCAAGGUAUUCUUUGCUAGCACUGAAAUUAUUGGUAAUAGAUAGUUUGAUAGUAAGAUAAUUCGUAAUGGGUAGCAAUUACAAGUGUAGCAAAGGUGGAGCAAGUUGUCUUAAUCCUUUUUAGCAAAGGACAAGUUUAGACAAACUCUUAUAUAAAGCAAAGCGCUCCUGAGUCAAUACAUCACCUAUGACGCAUAGACUGGACCGGAACUCCUCGAAGGUGGUUGUCGGUAACCCCAAUUUCUGAGCAGUGGGAACAUGCAAGACGCGGACGCGCACAAGAGCCACAUGCUCAUGCAUGAAGUGAAUGUCAAGCUCAAUGUGUUUCGUGUGGCGAUGAUUAAAAGGGUUGGCGGGGAGGUAGACGGCGAAGACGUUGUCUCAAUAGAUGGCGGUGGCCUUGGGAACAUCAAGAUGUAGUUCCUGAAUGAGUUGGCAAAGCCAUGAACACUCUGCGAUGGCGUUAGCCACAGUCCGGUACUCCGCCUCGGCACUGGAACAUGACGCCAUGGUGAUUGGCUCAAGGCAUCCUCAACUCAUGUGACGCAGAUGGUCGAAACAAAUUACUGCUCACGCUAUCGCGUUCAUGGUUCCUAAGAGAUAAUAUACUUCUUCUGUUUCUAAAUAUAAGUUUUUGAGAGAUUUUUUUCCGGAAAAAAUGAGUUUUUUCUAGAGAUUAUAAUAAAAACUACAUACGGAUGUACAUAGACAUAAUUUAGAGUGUAGAUUUGCUAAAUACUGACGCCCAUAUUGAAAUCGAGGAAAAUAAUGGAUCCCUCCCCCAAGCGGUUCAGUGAAGUUGAAUACUGACGCUGCUUUUGACGCUAUUGCAAGGAACGGUCAUGGGGUCUCUUAAUUUCUUCUCGAUCAUGUGGUCACAUCAGGUCGAACGGAUAUAUGUAGACAUAUUUUAGAGUGUAGUCCAUUUAACAUACGGAGAAAAAUGAGUGAAUCUACACUCUAAAAUAUGUCUACAUACAUCCGUAUGUUGUAGUCCAUUUAAAAUGUCUAAAAAGACUUAUAUUUAGGAACGGAGGGAGUAAUAUGCUUGCACACAACCUUGCAGCAAGAGUGAACUUAGUGAGUUAUAGUGACAAAGGAAUGUACUUAGUAAGUGUUGAUCCGCAUUGGUGAUUCUCAAAAAAAAGAAAACUUUUUCAUGUUGACAACUUUUUCAUUUGAUGCCAUAUUAAUUAGGGUUUCGGCCAUGUCAAAAUUGGUGUCAACACAAGGUCACCAGAACACUUCUCUCACUAGUAUAUAAGCUGCAUUUCAUGGACAAGGAAAGCAUGCAUUAAUCAAACCUUUUUGGAGUAUUAAAGAAAUAAACAAAAAAAAUCUCCGAACUUCGUUAAUCAUGGAGUAGCUGUUAAAAUGAGUGAUGGAAUCUUUCACGCAGUCCAGUUUACUGGCUUGGUUGGCUAUUUAAUUAGGUAUUGUAGCUAUCUUAAUCGCAUACAUCUUAAUGAGCUAGAUUUGGUUCUUCAUCCAUCUUAAUCACAUCCUUAUCAAAUAUUUCCAACUAGCUUUCCUCUCCAAAUAAACACCAUGUGGCACUGACUAUCCAACUCAAGCAUGGCAUGUAGUCUAAUCUGCCGGGCAGCGUGAACACUUCAAUUCAAGCGUGGAGAAACUAAGCACAGCUCUCACAAUCUAGAAGCAACAAUGGUUGAAAUAAAUCUGCAAAAGAAUUAACAGGAGUAACUCACGAUGUUGUUCUUGAAAUCACCCUUACCUAUAGCAGAGAAUUGCUUCUUCUCCUCACCCAUGUGUUCUUGAAUCCCUCCAAAAAGCACAGCUCUCACAAUCAGUGCUCAUCUCGUCACCCUGAACGAUGAUGGACAAAGAAACUGCUCAAAGAUGAAGAGGAGGAGACCUGUACCAAGAUCCAAGGAGCUGAGACCGUACAAUAUCAGAGACCCAUACCUUAGCCCCUUCUGUUGGCACCAGCGGAUUCAACGGUGUUGGUGUUGACCCUCCCUCCUUGCCUGNNNNNNNNNNNNNNNNNNNNNNNNNNNNNNNNNNNNNNNNNNNNNNNNNNNNNNNNNNNNNNNNNNNNNNNNNNNNNNNNNNNNNNNNNNNNNNNNNNNNNNNNNNNNNNNNNNNNNNNNNNNNNNNNNNNNNNNNNNNNNNNNNNNNNNNNNNNNNNNNNNNNNNNNNNNNNNNNNNNNNNNNNNNNNNNNNNNNNNNNNNNNNNNNNNNNNNNNNNNNNNNNNNNNNNNNNNNNNNNNNNNNNNNNNNNNNNNNNNNNNNNNNNNNNNNNNNNNNNNNNNNNNNNNNNNNNNNNNNNNNNNNNNNNNNNNNNNNNNNNNNNNNNNNNNNNNNNNNNNNNNNNNNNNNNNNNNNNNNNNNNNNNNNNNNNNNNNNNNNNNNNNNNNNNNNNNNNNNNNNNNNNNNNNNNNNNNNNNNNNNNNNNNNNNNNNNNNNNNNNNNNNNNNNNNNNNNNNNNNNNNNNNNNNNNNNNNNNNNNNNNNNNNNNNNNNNNNNNNNNNNNNNNNNNNNNNNNNNNNNNNNNNNNNNNNNNNNNNNNNNNNNNNNNNNNNNNNNNNNNNNNNNNNNNNNNNNNNNNNNNNNNNNNNNNNNNNNNNNNNNNNNNNNNNNNNNACAUUUUUCCGAUCGGAGUAUAUUUUUUCUUGCAAAGUGUUGAGAACCUAGCUACCUUGAAAUGAUAAUGCAAAAUGAAAGAAAUGUUUCAUGAACUAGGUGGUACUUUGUUUGCAUGCAAUGUAGUGUAAUGCUCAUUUAAUUGUUGUGCAAUGAUACACCUAGACAAUAGAAAUGUGAUUUGUAGGACAUAACAUCAACGCUAUUAAGAAAAGUAUCCUUCCUCCUCCCAUCAGCGCCGCCGCGGAUCUGCCCCACCUCCGAUGGCCUUUGGCCAUGACAGGUUGGCGGGUUGACGAAUAGAUUGGAAAUUUCUCUCGCGAAAAAAACAUCAACGCUAUUAUGGCGUAGACAGGGGACAUUUGCCCCCCUCCCCUCCCCACUUCACCAUGUUAUAUUUAUUCGAUAGUUAUUAUAAUCAUUAUUUAUAUCACGUAAUACGUAAUCACAUGUACACCUGGAUCAUCUACAUGUUCUGCUCCAUUAACUCGAUCGUUGACGUGCCGAGCAACCCGUCAAAGGCGGCGCGAAGCCUGGCCAUGAGGGCCACAUCUACUACGGUGAGUACGGGAACCAUGGCAUCGACACCAAUGUCAGCCACCAUGUCGAGUGGUGUGCCUUCUACAAACUCGAGUGGCUCGGUCAGACGGGUGUGCCAUACUACCUCAAGCUAGCUCUUGUGAGUAGAGCAUGCAACGUGAGUAUUUAUCCCGCCCGCUGCCUUCUACUCCCUCUGUCCCAUAAUAUAAAAGCAUUUUGGACACUACAUAAUGCCAGAAACGCUCUUAUAUUAUGGGACAGAGGGAGUAGUUUGUUAAAUUCAGUUUAGUCGCUCAGUCUGUUUGUUGGUUUCUCUAGCUAUAUAUGUUUGUAGUUUGUUUAGUUCAGUGGCUCUAGCUAUGUCAGGAUGUGAGCGACCAGCGGCCAAUUAGCUGGCUAUGUACUACUAGCUAGCUUCUGCGCAUAAUCGGCCGAAUAAAAUAGUAGGGGUUUUAUUAUUCACACUACUCAAUUUUGUCAUUAAAAAUUACAACUACUUAAACAUGCCAUCGUUUCAUUAGAUGUCUGCUCGAAAAUGUCGUUAGACAUUGUUAUUGUCUGGUCAAAUCCGUUGACCAUGUUACAUGACAAAAUAUAUCUCUAGACCCACAAGUCAGCUCACUCUAUCUCACAAUAAUAAGUGUGGACCUCACUUGUCAGGAGUAAACAAGUAAAUAAUUUUAGAGCAAAAUAAGAACGAUGUUGGGACCAAGUGGGACUCACAAUUUAUUGUAGUGAGAUAGAGGGAGAGCUGGCAUGUUAGUCCAUAAGUAUUUUUGUCAUUAUAACAUGGAAAACGGGAUUUGAGCUGACAGUAAUAGUCUCCAGUGGCAUUUUUGAGCAUGCGCCUAACGAAGCGAUGGCAUUUUUGAGCAGUUAAAAUUCCUAAUGGCAAAACUAAGUAGUGGAACAUAACCCGUGGCAUAAAUGAUAAAAACCCAAAAUAGUAGUAGUCACGUAAGCAUGCAAGGCAGUAACUUCCACUAUUCCUAAAUAUAAGUCUUUUGAAAGAUUUCUAUAUGGACUAUAUAUGAAGCAAAGUGGGUGUAUCUACACUCUAAAAUAUGUUUAUAUACAUAUGUAUGUAGUUCGUAUUGAAAACUCCAAAAAGACUUGUAUAUGGAAACGGAGGGAGUACUUGUGACCGUAGUCCGUAGGUGCACUAGGUAGGCAGCGAUAGCACUGAUCGGAUCUGUAAUGUGUAGCAAUGUUUGUUUGUGCAUCUGUGUGAUCUGUGAUCGAUGCAUGUAUCCAUCGUUUGAUUCCUGAUGUGCCUGUGACCGAUGCAUGUAUCCAUCUCUUUAGCAACAACUUUCAAAAUAGGGCUCCACAUUUUAUUAUUAGCUACCUAGGGAAUGUACAGAGAUCAAGUUUCCUCUUGGAAAGAAGAUGACUUCACAAGCCAUUUUGGGGUUGCAUCAGGAGUCUUUGAUGUAAAAAAAUUGCAACUAGAUGGAGUUCUACUAGAGAAAGAUUUUUACCCAAGAUUAUGAGCCAUAAGAUUCUUGAUCCUUGGAAUGUGCUCAAUACUGUAAAAACUGAGAAUGGAAAUAAGAUUGAAGAAAUCAGCAAGAGUAGACUGCAAGUUUCGAGGUCCUGGGUGUCGUAUCAGAUCUUUCGCCUUCGCCACUUCUACCAAAGUCUUGCAACCAGAGAAAAAGAUAGAGUUCCAAUUCAAGGCCUUGACAACUGCUGCCGCAGAAAUAUCCAGUCACUAUUGUAAUCGAACACUAUUCCGAGUGCCAGAAACACUCGGCAAAGCCUUUACUGAGAAUUGUCGUCGGCAAAGACCACCCAGUGUACACCUCUCAGGCAAAUAGAAAUUUGCUAAGAACCAUCCGUCGGACACUCGACAAAGGGUUUGCCGUGAGCCAAACUGGGCCUCUCGGCAAAAUAAAGCUGACUCACGAAUGACAGACGGCGACGGCGAUUGCCACGUGGCCCAUCUUUGCCGAGAGCUACUCUCAGCAAAAACAACGAAUGACAAACAGCCAUGUGGCAACAACCUGACAAGGUGGUCCCACACCCUUGUCAAGGAUUCGGUUGUGCCGCCGCCACUUUUCUCCUUUUUCAUCUCAGCCAAGGAUGAGGUUGACACCGCUUGCUUUAGCUAUGGUUUUCUGAGGAUUUGAGGCAUGGCUUCUUGCAGCAAUCCUCUUUUGCCUCUCUUGCUUGAGCCCUUCCAGCCGUUUCAUCUGCUCCGCUUCCUGAAAAUAUUUACAACAAAACAAAUUCAUCAGUGGUUUGAGCAAAUCUUUCCUGCUGAAAACUGCAAUUCUGCCGAUGCAAACAAAUGACAUACUCCACCACAUUACUUGCCCUAUUAUUUGCUUCUAGGUAGUGGUGUUCUAUUAAAAAAUACUGGUUAAUAAGGGUAGGAAACAAUGAUGCAAAAAAUGGCAUUUGAUACAUGUGAGAAUGGUGGGGGUACUAAUAUAAUUUUGCCACACCAAAAGGAGAUAGAUAAUACUAUAGCACUCUGUUGUAUAUAGAUUCAAUUUGAUCAUUUAUAAAUAUGCGAUGAGGAUGAUAAAAAAAGAGUAAAUUAAGUCAUGUGGGGGACACAUGCCGCACAUAAUUUUUUUCCUACUUUUAUUUUUAUACGGACAUUUAAAGUAUUUGAAAACUUUUCUAAUGGCAUAUAUUUUCUUCAAAGACAUGAUGAACAAAUUUUAAUACGCAAUAGUAUUUUAAAAAUAGUUAUACAUUUACACCAUUUCAAAAAAAUAAAAGGGAAAGAAAAUAAAAAUAAAAGAGUGUGUUCCGUCACUACGCAUGUGGGAGAGCUUGCCCUCCCCUUUUUGCUACACGCGACGGGCCAGUCAUAUUUGUGGCGUGGGUUUCUGGGUAACGAGCAAACGCAUAUCCCUAUUUGUCUACCUUUUUUGUGUUUUUCCUUUCUAUUUUUUGGGAACAAUUGUUGUACCCACAAACCUUUUUUUUAUUUGUGAACAAUUUUUAAAUCAUAAACAUUUUUUUAAUACUCUACCAUUUCUCGAAUCCACGGCCAUUUUUCAAAAUCAUGAACAUUUUUUAGAAUUCAUGAACACUAAGGGAAAAGACGGAAAAAAUGAAGAUAAAAAGGGACGCCCAGCACCCCCACACUGGGCUGGCCACGGCUUUGGUCGGGGAAUAGGAAGGAGCUCCCCAGGCGAGGCAUGGCACCGGCCAAAACUUUUGAUCUAAAAAAUGCACCCUCUUCAUUUCAGGGAAAAAAUGAACCUGGGCCAAAGAACCGUAACAGUAAAUCCGGAAGACUGAAUCUAAAAUCAUCAUCUGAAUAUGGGCACCCCUAUUUAUCGCCUUAUGCGAGCACCUGGGAACGCCUCGCAUCGGCGGGAGCCAAGAUGGGCUGGCCCAGCCGCGCGGGAGGCAAAGGCCUGUUUCUUUUUUGUGUUUUCUGUUAUAGUGUUUUGCUUUAUUUUUAUAUUUUUAUUAUGUUUUAAAAUAUUCUACAUAUAUAUACAAAAAACACUCUUCAAAAGCACAUUUAAAAAAUAUUGAACACGUAUUUGAAGAAUGUUCAACAAGUAUUAAAAAAAUGUUGAACGAUUAUUUGAAAAAUAUUGAGCAAGUAAUUGAAAAUUAUGAAUAAGUAUUUAAAAUGUUGAACAAGUAUUUGAAAGAUUUUGAAUAAGUAAUAAAAAUUGUUGAAAAAGUAUUUUAAAAAAUGUUGAAUAGUUAUUUAAAAAAUGUUGAAGAAGUAUUUGAAAAUGUUGAAUAAGUAUUAAAAAAAGUUGAACGAGUAUUUGGAAAAUGUUGAACAAGUAUUUGAAAAAUGUUGAAUAAUUAUUAAAAAAUUAAGAAAGUAUUUAAAAAAUAUUGAAUAAGCAUUCACACAAUGUUGAACGUGCAUACAAAAAAUGUUGAUCACUUAUUAAAAAAUGUUUUUCACAUAUACGAAAAUAUAGAGCGAAAACGAAAACAAACAUAAAAAACAAAAGAAAAACAAAAAUAGAGAAGAAAAAAGAAAGCCAAACAAAACAUGGAGAAGAAAAAAAGAAAACUAAAGAAAGACAACAAAGAAGGAAAUAAAAAAACCAAUGAAAAAAAUAGAGAAAAAAACUGAAAAUAAAAGGAGAAUAAACAGUGAAAACGCGGCUUGUUUCAUGUUAAAAAUAGUCGCCCUACUAAUACUCCCUCUGUUCCUAAAUACAAGUCUUAUUAAGAGAUUUCAUUAUAGACUACAUACGGAGCAAAAUGAAUGAACUUGUACUCUAAAAGGGGGGUAUGCAUGUUUGCUCAUGAAGACCUCGGGCAUUUGAGCAAGCCCAUCAUCGAAAUAUACAAUCAAAGUUCUAUAAUGAAAAAAUCCCACUAGUAUAUGAAAGUGAUAACUCAUGAGACCUUCUAUAUAAAGAACAUGGUACUACUUUAAAGCACAAGUAUGGUAUAAGGAUAGUACCAUUGCCCUUCUCUCUUUUUUCUCAUUUUUUAGUGGCCUUUUUUUCAUUAAGUCCGAAAACUCACCCCCAACUUCAACAGUAUUAUGGGGUAGACUGGGGGCAUUUGCCCCCCUUCCCUCCCAGCGCACUUCACCAUGUUAUAUUUAUUUGAUAGUUAUUAUAAUCAUUAUUUAUGUCACGUAAUACGUAAUCACAUGUACAUGGCCCCCGCCAUGUUGCUGGUUGGUGUCCUUGUGGGCUUGGCCGCAACCACGACGGCUCAUAAAGUUCUUGGCAUAGGAAAGCGACGCAAUGGGGUGAAAUCUAUGAAAACACCCUUAUGGCCAACAACUUCCUGCAGUUUCGAGGGAUCGCCCCCACGAGGAAUGGAUGGCGCCAGAGAUUUCAAAAUGAUUUUGGAAUGAUGAAGCAUCGUGUGAAGGAAGCUCUGUGGCCUUUUAUUAAGCUAGUGGUCGGCCCAAACGACCCUUCUGUGUAGUGCGAUGUUAAAAUGCACUUGUACCCCUCCUUAUACCUGCGUGUAAGGUUUCUCCCUUUCCCUAUACCCAUGUAAAACCCUGGUGUAAUUUGUGCUCUCGGUUUUAAUAUAUAAGUCAGUGAGGGGGUGCCCUCACUGUCCACUGUUCCUCAAAAAAAACUUCCUGGAGUUUUAUCGUGAAUGUCAAAUUUUGCGCACCCUGGAUUUUAUCUCUGGAGACACCAAGGCCGUCUUCCAAGAUAGCCUCAUCUACAUCCACCAGCCGGUCGCCGGCCAUGAUGUCGUCAUCAUUGCCCACGGUCGUUUUGAACAUGAUGGUGGUUCAGGGUUCGUCUUCUGGAAUUGCUCAGCGACCACAUCGCCUAGGGAGAGCCUUGACGGUGUCCAGACCUUCCUAGGCCUCCCCUAGAAGGACCAUGCUCGGGUCGUCUACAUGUUUUGCUCCAUUAACUCGAUCGUUGACGUGGCCGGAUAGGUUGUGUGGGAGAACAACAACCCCGAGAAACCUGUCAAAGGCGGCGCGAAGCCCGGCCACGAGGGCCACAUCUACUACGUCGACUACCGAAACCAUGGCAUCGACGCCAAUGUCAGCCACCAUGUCGAGUGUUGUGUCUUCUACAAGCUCAGUUAAGCCAACGAAUAACAAACAGCCACGUGGUGACCACCUGACAAGUUGGUCCCACACGUGGUGACCACGUGGCAAAGCCAACGAAUAGCAAACAACCAUGUGGCGACCACCUGAGAAGCUGGUCCCACUCCCUACGACAAGGGGACGCGUUGUCGAGAGCUGCUCUCGGCAAAGCCAACAAAUAGCAAACAGCCACGUGGCGACCACCUGACAAGUUGGUCCCCACACCCUUUUUGAAUCACAUCAGUGGAGUAGAACAACAUUAGUCAGUCAACUACUUGAGAGCUCUUCCUCCAUCAAAACAUGCUCCUUCAGAAUCCCAACAAGCUUGGUCCAAAAGAAAUUGCUCCUUGGAAUCCGUUGCUUCCUUGAGCUCUGCCUCAUCUUUUGCAUUGUGAAAUAAAUUGAUCUUGUGUGAGAUUCGGCAAGUUCGGAACAACAAUGUAAGCCUUGCACACAUGAUAACCAAUAACAGUCAUGUGGAUGUCAGCUGGAUGUUAUGGCACGAUUAAAAUUGCCUCCUUCAAUAGAUAUUUUUCAAGUUAUGUACUCCUUCCGUUCCUAAAUAUAAGUCUUUUUAGAGAUUUCACAUGAACUACAUAUGGAGCAAAAUGAGUGAAUCUGCACUUUAAAAUUUGUCUUUAUACAUCCAUAUGAAGUCCAUAUUAAAAUCCCUAAGAGGAUUUAUAUUUAGAAACGGAGGGAGUAAGUAGUAGAAACAGAGAAAAGAUCCAAUAAAAAAAUUGCAUUCCAUGAAAGGCAAGUCCCUUUAGUUAGUUCUUAGAUCCGCAAGUUCAGUUUCUAAGAGUUGACAAGAUUAGCUACAACUACAUAUGUUUUUGCCCUUGGAAAACUGUAUAGAAUAGAAAGAAAGAAAUGAGCUAAUCCAUGGUAUAAUCCAUUUGGACACAAUAGAAAAUAUUUGAAAAAGAUGUGAAAUGUAUAGACGCACUACCAACAUGAGUCUGGCCAACUUCAGGCAUCCCAUGACGAUUACUAGGAAGAUCCAAAAGACUUGACAUAUACUCCAAGACGCUGGAUCGGUGGAGAACUCUAUCCCUCGUGCUCCGACUAGGAUCAUGUACCCUAGUACCNNNNNNNNNNNNNNNNNNNNNNNNNNNNNNNNNNNNNNNNNNNNNNNNNNNNNNNNNNNNNNNNNNNNNNNNNNNNNNNNNNNNNNNNNNNNNNNNNNNNNNNNNNNNNNNNNNNNNNNNNNNNNNNNNNNNNNNNNNNNNNNNNNNNNNNNNNNNNNNNNNNNNNNNNNNNNNNNNNNNNNNNNNNNNNNNNNNNNNNNNNNNNNNNNNNNNNNNNNNNNNNNNNNNNNNNNNNNNNNNNNNNNNNNNNNNNNNNNNNNNNNNNNNNNNNNNNNNNNNNNNNNNNNNNNNNGGUUAACUACAUAAACGGAGGAUCUUGACUCGUAGACAACAAAAGGAAAUCUCUUGGUAGAUACAUGUACUCUAUACUGCACUCCAACGUAAUAAACACAACAUAGGACGUAGGGUGUCAUCUCUUCGGAGAGCCCGAACCUAGAUAAAAACCCUAUGUCUUUGUUACCCUCGCUUCUAGCCGCCUAGUUUAGGAUUCCCUACCUCAAGAUUUGCCGAUUUAGGUUCCGUCACUGGCCCAUGUAGCUUUCCCAUGCAUGUGCUCAAGAAAGGAAACUCGUGUUUGCUAAAAAAGUUUGCAGCUUUCGGCUCCAACAAAACUGGAUAUCAAUUAUUUAUGUUAAAAAAAUUAUUAAUGCAAAAAAACCAUGAAUUUGAUUCUUUCCAUAAACUUUUAAAAUAUUCAUGAAUUUUUAAAAUGUUCAUGUAUUUGAAAACAUAUUCCAAAACUCCAUGAAAAAAUGUUCACCAAUUUUUUAAAUACCAAAUUUUAAUAUAAUUUUAAUGAAUUUUUAAAAAACAUAUACUUUAAAAAUAUUCAUGAAUUAAAUUUUUCAUAAUUAUUUGUAUUUUUUAACAAUUUAAUAAUUGUUCGUGAUUUUUUCCUAAGAAUUCAGAAAAUAUUAGUGAAUCUUAUAAAAAAUUCAUAAAUUAUGAAAAUUAUUCUUGAAGUAGAAACUGUGAAAAAAAUUAAACACAAAAAACAAAUAAAAUAAUGAAAAAUAAAUGGUAAAAGUUUAAAGAAAAUGCGCUAAGUAGAAAAUUGUCAAUCUGUUCCUCUCAUAUCGAAUGACAGACUGCAUCCCUAUGUGCAGAAAGACAAAUAAGCCCACAUGAUCAAGCAAUAAAGUGGCGUUGUUUCUCAAAAGACAAAAAAAGCCACGAAACAUCCACAAUACAAGAGGGAAAAAACACCGCAUCUGUGAAAAAUGGAGCGAGGUGUUCCAAAAAAAUGGUGCGAGAAGGCAUAUAUCAGCUAUCAUCUAAAAAAAAGUUUCAGAAAUUUGUGAACAUACGGGGUAGGGGUCUUCUUCUCCAGACAAUAAUGUUUGUUGGCCCGUUGAAAUAAAAAGAGAUAAUGUUGCUGAUUACAUACAUUAUCUGCUUCGGCACUGAUUACUUAGUAUGUUUCACAUAUUAUUAGUAUACUCCAACAGCAAAUGGUUUGUUUCUUUUGGCGCGGGAACAACAAAUGUUUUUUUUGGCGCCGGAACAUCAAAUGGGCUAACAUAUGAUUUUCCUGAGGAUGGAUUAAUAUAUGAUUAGUGCUACCUACCGGGCAUCUCCUCAUUUUUGAGUAGUAUAAGUAGUAGUACCUACUUGUGCUUAACAUUUUUGUUUGUUUUGCAGGUAGUAUAGCGCAUACAGAAGAUGUACUACAUAUAGUAAAAAAAAGUAGUGAGGGACAAAAUUUUCUCCCCUAGCCCCAGACGGCUAGGGUAAACCCUAUCCUCCAGGCUUCACCGGUGAGCCCGUGGAUUCGCCAUCACUUUGGGGGAGUGGUGUGAUCACUUUGGCUUCCUCAACAACCAUGAUGACAUCCGUUAUGUUUAUGAGUUUACUAAACCGCACCCGAGGCAAUCUUUUUACCAGAUGAGUCGCAAUGGCUCAAGGCAAAGAGCUAGUUGCAUUGAAAGUCCUACUAUACAUUAUUUCUAUUAUGUUGUCACUAACUCGUUGUAGGCAUGAGGAGAAGUUUCUAAGGUGAACGAUGAGAACAUCCUAGUUCCCGGGAAAGCAGCAAACCUUGACGUCGGUUAUUCUCCCAACCUAGAGGCAAUACUUUUGCUACACCUCGCGGAUCAAGCAAAUCAUGCGCAAGGAGAUAUCAUGUGUGAAGGAGUGAUUACCAUGUUGGCCAACUUCCUUGGCCUUAACUACAAUCACCUUCAUCCCAUUGUCGGUAACAACCUUGCUAAUAUUCGUGUUCUUACUAGCGUUGGAAUGGUAGUAGUUCGUCGUGGUCGUCAUUGCAUCGAAAUUCCUUUUGUUUUUUUAAUUUACAUGAAUUUUAAAACAUUCAUAUAUUUUUAAAAUAAUAAUGAAUUUUUUAUACUGUCCAUUUUUUAAAAAUUAUUCACACAUUAAUAAUUGUUCAUGAAUUUAGUUCUUUUCCUAAGAAAUGAAAAAAUAUUCAUGAAUUAGAAACUGUGUGAAAAAUGAAAUACAAAAAAAAAGAAGGAAUAAAAAGAAAAAAGUAAGAGAAAAGAAAAGGCGCUAAUUAGAAGAUUGGCAAACUGCUCCUCCCAUACCAAAUGACAGACUACAUCCCGAGUGCACAAAGACAAAUAAGCCCACAUGAACAAGCAGUAAAGUGGCGCUAUUUCUCGAAAAGAAAAAGAAGCCCACGAAACAUCCACAGUAGAAGUGUGAAAAAACAGCCCAUAUAUGCAAAAUCGUGACAAGGCAGGAAAUAUUGCGUCUGCGUUGUAACCGUGUUACUAUGGAAUAAAACUCCCACUAAAUGUAUUACUAAGCUGCAGAAAUUUAUGAAAAUACGGGGUGGGGGUCUUCUUCUUCUCCAAUUAAUUAAGCACGAUAAUGUUUGUUGACUGACCCUGAAAAAAAAAAGAUAAUGCUUGUUGCCGAUUACACACAUAUAAAAUAAUUAUUUGGUCCGGAACUGGUUACUUACUUAUUCAUAUAUUAUUAUUCGUAGUAGUAGUAUAUGUACUGCAGUAUACCCCAACAGCAAAUGGGUUAGUUUAUGAUUUCUUUUUGAUGAUGGAUUAAUAUAUGAUUAGUGCUACCUACCGGGCAUCUCCUCAUUUUUGAGUAGUAUAAGUAGUAGUACCUACUUGUGCUUAACAAAUUUUUUUGCAGAUAGUAUAACGCAUACAGAAAUGUAGUGCAUAUAGUAAAAAAAAAAUAGUGAUGGGCAAAAUUUUCUCCUAUAACCCUAGACAGUUAGCGUAAACUCUAUUCUCCAAGCUUCACCAGUGAGCCCGUAUAUUCAUCUCUCCUCUGCCUAACACGCCGGCGGCCGGUGGCAUGGAGGGGAAUCCCAGUGCCUUCACUCCGGUUAAUAGUUUAGACUAGAGUUUUUUUAAUCCUCGCGGGUGAGGCGCUCGGGCCGAUGGCGGCGCUUCUUCUUCGAGUUUGUCUUUCGGACUCCGAUCGUCCUCGAGUUUGUUUGCCAGGACGUAGCCGACGAAGCUUUUGUGUAAGUUCCCGCGGUCUCCUUGGGACCGGUGAGGUUAAGGUUUCUUGUCACGUGUCGAGAUUUGGUAUUAGCUACUUUAGAAUCAACUACGUCUUCUUGUCUUGUUCUUGUUAGUAUAAAAAAAGUAAUUAGUGGAUGGAUGCUUGAAGAUGUAGCAAUUAAUAAGACAGACGUUAAUCGCCCGCAUAGUAAAUUAGUAAUAGAGAAAGGAAUCUGCUAAGCACCGAACAACAACCAAACGUUGGCCCAUGACAACUCCAAACGUUUUCGACAGCAAAGUGACACGAAAAUGACAACUUUCAUGCUUCCGUUUAUUUGUUGACAGAAAAAAUUGCUCUGACUGGCCAUCAUCUCGGAACAAUUGAAAUGUUGGGAUGUCAUGCUUAAAAUCAGAACGUUGGGUGCUUAUCGUUUCCGUAGAAAAAUGGAGAAAAUAAUGAUGAGAAAAGAAAAGAAAAAGAAAAGAUGCCUCCUGCCUGCCUGCCUCCCUCCAUCUCCAGUCCUGGAGCGAGUCGUCUUCAUCCCCUUCCUUCCUUCCUCCUUCUCCUCUGCCGUCUGCAUCCAAUUUCAAAUCCGCUCCUCCUCUCCGACCACACGGCCUCGGCCUCCAGCGCGCCCGCCACCAGUUCUCGCCUCGCCGCCGCCGCCGCCGCUCCUCUCUGGUGGAGCGGACCGGCGACUUGGCGGCGCGGCGCGUGGCGGAGAUCCACCCCAUCCGGACCUGGAGCUUCCUUCCACGGUAACCAACCCUAGCUUUCUUCCCAGCUUUCUUCGGGUCCCUGAUUCACCACCAUCCCAUCCCAUCCCAUGUUUAUCCACCUUACCUUACUUAUAUGCCGGCCAGCCAGCCAGCCAGCUAGGGUUUACUCCUCCUUUCUUCUUCUACCUUAUCUGCAUCUGUAUCUACUGUAUGUAUCUAUCUAUGUAUUUUCUCCCCACUCGCCAUCUUAAUUUGGGGGCCAUCCUUGUAAAACCACCGACGGAUUCAUUCAUUCAUUCAUUCCUCUUUAUUUCCCUUUCACCAAUCUGCAUACAUACACUCGGCAACCUCUCUUUACUUGACUUUGACUCCAAUCCAAUCUUGGGGGCAGACUGACUCUGUUGCUUUGAUUGCUUGCUUGCUUGCACACACAUCAAUCCACCCACUCAUCUUUUCACUUGAUACCUGUGCUGCUCUUUUUCUAUCUAUCUAUCUAUGUAUCUAUGUAUGUAUGCAGCCUACCAAGGAAAUGGAAACAAACAGUGAAACAUUACCUAAUCUAUUCUAGUGUAUAAAUUACAGACAGACUUGUAUGCUUUCAGGUGUCCCCUCUUCAUUCAUUUCCUAGACACUUGUGUAGCUUGUAUACUCUCUUCUUUCCUCUUUUUUUAAAUCGGGCCAACUUGUCUGCUUACUUGUCUCUGUGACUCAAAUCGGUCCCUAGGUCUUGUUUGCACACCCUCUGAUUUUUACCUUACUACUUGUAUAGUUUGAUGUAUGCUUUCUAUGUCUGUAUGGAACAUAAACAAACGUGCCGUACUAGGAAAUGGAAAAAGUGUGUGCUUUUGUGUUUUUUGCCCGCAUCUGACAUACAUUCUUAUGCCUGUUUACUCCAGGUCACGCUCAAGUUUCCCCUCCUGUCCGCCGACUCUUCGACGCACUGCUCGCAAACAGAAACGAACCGUCAAUGAUAUGAACCGCAACAACAAUUGACAGAGCGCCAUGGACCCCACAAGGGACGCAGCUGCUGGCUCUGCGCCCCAGAGAGCCAUGCAUGCGCCAUUGGUUUCGUCGUCCACCGCUCCUCCCCGUGUUCCAGAGUACCUUGUGCCGGGCGCUGUCAAGCCUGUUCUCAACUACUCUAUCCAGACCGGGGAGGAGUUUGCCCUCGAGUUCAUGAGGGACCGCGCCAUGUCCCAGAAGAUCCUGGCCACUGGUACGUCCGGAGACCAGAACGCCGCGACAAGCGGUUACAUGGACUUGAGAGGGAUGCUUGGUGCCAGCCACACGGCAUCAGAAACUGGUCCUGAUAUAUUCAUGCUCCAACCUAUUGUUGAUCCGCGGCACAAGGAGCCCGAGAGAAAACCUGUUGCUCAGGUUCAGAAUAGGAGCAGGCACUCGUCGACCAGGUCGGUGCCGCGAGCUCUGUCAGGUGGUGAUGGCAGCAGUCGGGGACUGUCUCAUGGCUAUGCUUCCUCUGAUGCUUCGGAUGCCUCAAAGAGAAUCAAGUUCCUGUGCAGCUUUGGGGGCAAAAUCUUGCCCCGGCCCAGUGACGGGAAGCUUAGGUAUGUUGGUGGUGAGACGCGCAUAAUUCGAAUCAGCAAGGACAUUUCCUGGCAGGAGCUCAGACAAAAGACGUCUGCCAUCUUCAACCAGCCCCACAUCAUCAAGUACCAGCUCCCUGGUGAAGACCUCGAUUCUUUGAUUUCGGUGUCGGGCGACGAGGAUUUGACAAACAUGAUGGAUGAGUUUGCCAUGAUUGAAAGUGAAGGAGGUUCUCAGAAGCUCCGUGUUUUUCUGUUUUCCUCGCUCGAUUUUGACGAUAACCUGGGUAGCAUGGAUGGUGAUUCUGAGCUCCAUUAUGUUGUUGCUGUCAAUGGAAUAGAUGUAGGAUCAGGGAAGCCUUCAAGCGGCCAUGGUUUAGCAAGCACAUCCGUGAGUAUGAUGGAUCAGUUCAUUAAUCUCAAUAACGAUAAUGAUCAGUCAAACCCAAACCAAGGCAUGUCAGAUUUUCAUGGUAUGCGUGGGCCAACUUUGGUGCCUGCUGCUACUGUACCAACACCAACACCUCCAAGCUUAUCCAGUGAUUACACUGCAAAUUUGCAAUCUUACCAAGGGCAGGAAAUGCUGUACGCUCAGAGCUCUAGAGACAAUUUCUAUGACACUGAGAGACGCAUCUCUAUGCCUCUAUCUGCGCCCUCAGAUUAUGGAGUGCCCUCUCAGUAUGCGCCACAUUCUGGGCCUGCAUCUCUGGCAACUCCUGACCAGCGGUCUUAUCAGGAUGGCUUCAUGAUGCAAGGUUCUAUAAAUGAUGCAAAGCAGGCUUCCAAGAACACGCUGCAUCAGAAAAGUGAAGUGGACUACUUCCAAACCCUUGAGAAUUUGAGUGCUCCUGUGCUGCACAAUGAUCUGUCUGUUUCAAAUAGUAUGCAUUUGGAAGUGCCCUCUGCUUCUUCGGCUCAAGAAGGCCGGACAUCUUUUCUUCAACCAAGUGACAGUGGAAAGAGCCUAGAGCCUAGAGAGUUAAAUGAAGAUGACCGCCAGUCCUCUGGUGGAGCUUUUGCAUCUGGAUGUUCUGAAUUUGAGUCUGACAUGACCGAUCAUGGGUUCACGGAUCCCCAACCUGGUUCUGGGCGAACCUUCCAUUCUGAACGAAUCCCUCGGGAGCAAAUGGAAUCCAUGAAUCGGUUGUCAAAAUCUGAUGAUUCAGGUGCUCAGUUUCUAAUACCUCAGUCUCAGUCUGGUGUGGCUAGAGAAUCCAUUGCAGAGGCUGCUGAUUCUGUUGAAGGAGCUGAAAAUUCAAAUUCAGGGGCCCCAUCACUGAACCUGAAUGAACCAUCUAGCGAUGAUUCCCUAGCACAGUUUGAGAGAAACUUUGCCAAAGCUGUACCACGGCCGAGUCAAUUUGGUAUAAUCAUACCUUCAGAAGAAUCAGAUGCUAAAAUGAUGUCUGAAAAUCCUGUGGUUGAACAGCAACAGGCCAGUGAAAAGAAGGCAGUGGAUGUCCCUAACAUCAUGAAUUCAGUUGAAAAGACUCCAGCUAAAGGUAAUUUGAAAGCCACUACCACCAAUAGAAUGCAAAGUACUAAGAAGCAGCUGGGAAGUGAUGCUGCCAUGGCACGUCGUGUUAGUUGGGAGGCUCCCAAGCCCGCGCCCCCCAAUGAUGUUAAGCAUGAUCCAGCUGUGCCAUCGUCCACCAGCACUGCUGGAGCUGUUGCAGAUAGUGCAUCUGCAGCUGCUAACUCGGAGAACAGAGAUUUUUUUGUUGAUAUCAAUGACCGCUUCCCCCCUGAUAUUCUUUCCGAUUUCUUUGCAAAGGCGAAAGAUGCAGCACAGUCAUCAACUCCUUUUAAUGAUCCUAUUCUUAGCUUGAACAUGCCAAACUAUGAGCCUAAGAACUGGUCAUUCUUCAGAAAUCUUGCAAAGGAUGAGUUCCCAAGCAAGAGUAAUGACCAACAAGGCCUGGCAAAGAUUGACGAAGGGAUGUAUGCAUUCGCAGGAGCAGAUAAUGAUGCAAUCAGCAUGAAGGGUUUGAAUCCUACCUACAAUUUUGAUGCUGAGAAGAAGGCAGAGCCUUCCAUCAUAGUUGCUGACGUUAGCAGCAUGCCUCCAGCUUAUGCCACAUCACAUAUUGACCAUCUCCCAAAGAUGGAGAGGAGUGUUGAAGCAUUUCAAGUUGACAAUCCAUAUCAACCUGUGGCAGACAAUACGAAUCUGCCUGCUCCAGAUUUCGAGGUAUGCAUGUUUUGUAGAAGUCCACUGUCACUUUUGUCAUCACACCGUGUUGUCAUAUUUAUGAUUGUUUUCAUGGCUCCAGGAACCAAAGUUCGAAGAGGACAGAACUGCUGCGCAAGUCAUGGAUGCUUCUCUUCGAGAUUCUGAUUUUGAACACUUGCAGGUAUGGUGGUUUUGUGUUGGAAGAAACUUAACAUGUUUUGGCUAAAUUCUCAAACCAGAAUCAUCUAAAGUCACAUGACGUUGCCAUCUUUAUUCAUUGUUGUCAACAUGUUUAAGUGUUAUUACUAGCUCUGGAAAGACAAUAUUAGCAUUUUCUGGGUGCAUAAUAUCCAAUGGUUCUGCCAACCAAAGGGCACAUGACAACCACUGUUAUGAGCAUGACCAGUGACAUGCCAACAAUGCUCACUUUUAUCUGCUGGGAACAAAUAUUUUAACAGAUUAUCAAGAAUGAAGAUCUUGAGGAGCUUAGGGAACUUGGUUCUGGUACUUUUGGAACUGUUUACCAUGGGAAAUGGAGAGGAACUGAUGUGGCUAUCAAGCGCAUCAAGAAAAGCUGUUUUACAGGACGAUCAUCUGAGCAAGAAAGGCUGGUAAGCUCCUGAACCUGUGUUCAAGUUGUGUGUUAAGCAUGCUAGUCUGAUUUCCCAUUUUAUUGGCAUAUACGUACUAUGUGACAGUAGGCUCUGGAUUUGAAAGGUAGUUGCAGCAUCACUGAACACUAACAUUCUCGAAAUCUGUGACUCGUAUUAUCAAUGUCUAUAUGAUAGUAGGCUCUGAAUAUGAAAGGUGGUUGCAGCAUUACUGAACAUAGCAUUCUUGAAAUCUUUUACUCGUAUCAUCAAUGCGGUGUUAUAUACUACAGCUGAAAUUUCAGCAGAAAGGAGACUGUAAUGAUGCUCUAAAUAAACAUUGUGGUUUCUAGGCACAAGAAUUCUGGCGAGAAGCUGAGAUUCUGUCAAAGCUUCAUCACCCAAACGUCGUAGCGUUCUAUGGUGUGGUGAAGGACGGGCCGGGCGGUACCCUGGCGACUCUGACUGAGUUCAUGGUUAAUGGUUCUCUUCGGCAUGUCUUGCAGCGGAAGGACAAGUAAGCAAGCUCUUGCUGGUGUUUUCCUUGUAUUUGCCCUUCUCUGGAUCUAAUAAAAUGUAUAAAUAGCUCAGCAAAAAAGUAAUAAUCUCUUGUAUAACCUGGAAGGUGUCCUGAUCUCCGCAAGCGGCUGAUCAUAGCGAUGGAUGCGGCGUUCGGGAUGGAGUAUCUGCACUCGAAGAACAUUGUGCAUUUCGACCUGAAGUGCGAUAACCUGCUGGUCAACCUCAGGGACCACGCACGCCCUAUCUGCAAAGUAAGCCUAGUUUCCAUUCCGUCCACUUAAAAACAGUGUUGUGCGGUGACCACCUGUUUGAGUAAAUUACUACUGUCGUUGUGUUCAGGUGGGUGAUUUUGGGCUGUCCAAAAUCAAGAGGAACACCCUGGUUUCGGGCGGCGUGAGGGGGACACUCCCCUGGAUGGCCCCGGAAUUACUCAACGGGAGUAGCAGCAAGGUGUCUGAGAAGGUAAGACCGUGACACGUCUUUGUUUCGUAGAUAUUGUUCUGCUGAUAUCUAUCUAGGCGUGAUCUGUUCUUCUUGGCUGACUGGACCAGUUGAGAGAGUUUGGAUAGCAAGAAGUUAGUUAAACUUAGCAGUGAAGGAAUAAAGAAAGUAUAUAUAACAGGGAGAGUUCUUCUUUUUUUUUUGGUUUUUUGGCAUAUGAUGGAUGCAGGUGGAUGUGUUCUCGUUCGGUAUCGUCUUGUGGGAGAUCCUGACCGGGGAGGAGCCCUACGCCAACAUGCACUAUGGCGCAAUAAUAGGUACGUAUGCCGAUGAUUCUCUUCCUGGAGCUGUCUUGCUUCUUCUUGUCCACUUUCUUUGUGAUAUAGUACUAGUGUUUAUGUAAAUAAACUGUGGUGGUUGAUUGAUGGAUCUAUUUUGGCAGGUGGCAUCGUGAACAACACGCUGCGGCCGCCGGUGCCGGCCAACUGUGGGCCGGAGUGGAGGAGGCUGAUGGAGCAGUGCUGGUCGCCGGACCCGUCGCAGCGGCCGGCCUUCACGGAGAUUGCGGCGCGGCUGCGGUCCAUGUCGGCCGCGGCCAACCAGCAGGCCAAGGCAGCUGCGGCGGCCAAGUAGAAGUACAAAUCGCCGGCUGGGGCUGGGUUCUGGUUGUGCUGAUUGGUGGGAGGAACGUAUACUACUUGCUACUUGCGGUUGUGGCUGUGGUGGAGUCUGUGGUGUAUGUAUUGUCUGUCUGUCUGUCUGUUAUAGAGUUGUGAGUGUAAAAAUAUUGGUGAGAUGAAUGAAAUGAAUGAAUGGUGUCCUCGGUCGGGUGUAAAAAUAUACACACGCUAUGUACUAUUAUUAUAAACAAAUAUUAUAUAUUAUUAUCCUAUAUAUAAGUCGAUCCAAAACGGCUUUUUGUUUGUUUGUUAUUUACGGGUUGGAUUGUAUGCCAAAGACUAAUUGUACCGCUCCAUCCCUCCAUUUUACAAAGUAUGAAUGAAAUCGAGUGAAUUACAGAAAACAUCGAUAUUGAAGGCUAGAGUUGCAGAAACCACACUUCUACAUUUUUAUGUCAAAAAUCACUAAUUCCAAGGCUAAUUUAUUCUACAAAAAACACUAGGCGAUGACUUUGGCCAUUUUAAUGAUGAUUAUGAUACGUGGGUCCCGUAUUUGAUGACGUGGCAUAACGGUCCAUAAUAGAUGACGUUAGACGGGGGAUUUAUAGAUAUACAAAACAAUCCUUGUACUGGUGUUGUGGGACUACAUCGAGGGUGAUUCCUCCAAGUUUACCUACAUCGAGUGGGAAUCCAUUGAGGGUGAUUCCUCAGAUUUCCCCCUUGAUGACACGUACACUCUGUUAUCUUUACAUGUUGCCCCUUUUACUGGUGUUGUGGGACUGAAGGGAUAGGCGCUACCACCCCGGUAGAGGUGGACCUGAGUUCCCGACAGUCUCUUGUGAGUCGGGUUGACCUAGAGGGUACCCGCGAAAUAAUUACGAGGCACGGGCGGGUAGGCAAACCACCCUAGAGAGGGAUGGGCCUGACCCCUGCCGUAAGUCCUCGAGACGGGGCGACAGGAUCACUGAUCGUCUCAGCACGCUCCCAAUACACUAACGGUUUGGAUAUGCGAUCUGAGUUGGCCUCUGGCGUUUUCACACUAACCACCGUGCGGGAAUAAGGGCCUAUUCGGGACGAAGGAAGAGUGCAGGAAAACCAAAGGAAACCGAAUCCUGCGGAACUGUUGUCUAUUUUGGCGUUCGGGAUGAAGGAAACCCGCGUUACCGUUCCACCGGAAAGUUUUUCUUGCAUGCGAUUUCACGGGAAAACAAACAUCCGCUCCUCUCUCAUUUUUUCCGCGAGGGCCGAGGCACUAGAAGGGAAAGAAUGCCGAGGCAUGCAUGCAGGGACCCACAUCAUCUGUAAAAAAAUAUUUGAUCUUUACACAUUGAGACCCACAUACACAAACAAACAUACAACUUAGGACCCACAACAGCUGAAUUCGUGGGAUUCCUUCUCCCGCGUCCAGAACAACAAUCGUGUGGUUUCCUGUAAUGUUUUCACUUCUCAUGUUUUGCAUCUCUAUUCCUUUUCAUUUCCUCUGUUUUGUUCUAAAACAAUGUUUUCCAUUCCUCCGUCCCGAACAGGGCCUAAGUAUGGGCACUCGACGUCGUACGAUUCUCUCGAAAGCUCUAUAGACGUCACAGUUGAGUGGCACGCACCCGGGUGGUCCACGUAAGUGCCUGCUUUGUAUAAAGAGGUAGCCAGAACUGAUCCCGACCAUCCUCACAACGUGCAGGAGUGCUUAGGCGGAUUGGCCCAUAUGACCUCUUCACACUUAUGAUUCAAAUCGGCGUGCUGACCUCUCUAUUGAGCCUAGUGAAGGAAAUAUGCCCUAGAGGCAAUAAUAAAGUUAUUAUUUAUUUCCUUAUAUCAUGAUAAAUGUUUAUUAUUCAUGCUAAAAUUGUAUUAACCGGAAACAUGAUACAUGUGUGAAUACAUAGACAAACAAAGUGUCACUAGUAUGCCUCUACUUGACUAGCUCGUUGAUCAAAAAUGGUUAUGUUUCCUAGCCAUAGACAUGAGUUGUCAUUUGAUUAACGGGAUCACAUCAUUAGGAGAAUGAUGUGAUUGACUUGACCCAUUCCGUUAGCUUAGCACACGGUCGUUUAGUAUUCUGCUAUUGCUUUCUUCAUGACUUAUACAUGUUCCUAUGACUAUGAGAUUAUGCAACUCCCGUUUACCGAAGGAACACUUCGUGUGCUACCAAACGUCACAACAUAACUGGGUGAUUAUAAAGGUGCUCUACAGGUGUCUCCGAAGGUACUUGUUGGGUUGGCGUAUUUCGAGAUUAGGAUUUGUCACCCCGAUUGUCGGAGAGGUAUCUCUGGGCCCACUCGGUAAUGCACAUCACUUAAGCCUUGCAAGCAUUGCAACUAAUGAGUUAGUUGCGGGAUGAUGUAUUACGGAACGAGUAAAGAGAUUUGCCGGUAACGAGAUUGAACUAGGUAUUAAGAUACCGACGAUCGAAUCUCGGGCAAGUAACAUACCGAUGACAAAAGAAACAACGUAUGUUGUUAUGCGGUUUGACCGAUAAAGAUCUUCGUAGAAUAUGUGGGAACCAAUAUGAGCAUCCAGGUUCCACUAUUGGUUAUUGACCGGAGACGUGUCUCGGUCAUGUCUACAUAGUUCUCGAACCCGUAGGGUCCGCACGCUUAAAGUUUCGAUGACAGUUAUAUUAUGAGUUUAUGAGUUUUGAUGUACCGAAGGUUGUUCGGAGUCCCGAAUGUGAUCACGGACAUGACGAGGAGUCUCGAAAUGGUCGAGACAUGAAGAUUGAUAUAUUGGAAGCCUAUAUUUGGAUAUCGAAAGUGUUCCGGGUGAAAUCGGGAUUUUACCGGAGUACCAGAGGGGUUACCGGACCCCCCCCCGGGGGUUUAAUGGGCCAUAGUGGGCCUUAGUGGAGAAGAGGAGGGGCGGCCAGGGCAGGCCGCGCGCCCCCUCCCCCUCUAGUCCGAAUAGGACAAGGAGGGGGGGGCGUCCCCCUUUCCUUCCCCUCUCUCUCCUCCUUCCCCCCUUCUCCUAGUCCAACAAGGAAAAGGAGGGAGUCCUACUCCCGGUGGGAGUAGGACUCCUGCUGGCGCGCCCCUCCUGGCCGGCCGCCUCUCCCCCUUGCUCCUUUAUAUACGGGGGCAGGGGGGCACCCGAGAGACACAACAAUUGAUCAUUGCUCUUUCAGCCGUGUGCGGUGCCCCCCUCCACCAUAGUCCACCUCGAUAAUAUCGUAGCGGUGCUUAGGCGAAGCCCUGCGUCGGUAGAACAUCAUCAUCGUCACCACGCCGUCGUGCUGACAAAACUCUCCCUCAACACUCGGCUGGAUCAGAGUUCGAGGGACAUCAUCGGGCUGAACGUGUGCUGAACUCGGAGGUGCCGUGCGUUCGGUACUUGAUCGGUCGGAUCGUGAAGACGUACGACUACAUCAACCGCGUUGUGCUAACGCUUCCGCUUUCGGUCUACGAGGGUACGUAGACAACACUCUCCCCUCUCGUUGCUAUGCAUCACCAUAAUCUUGCGUGUGCGUAGGAAUUUUUUUUGAAAUUACUACGUUCCACAACACCUAGGUAGGACUACGAUGUGUCGAUCAGCCAAGGCCGGGCAUGACCCGAAAAAUUGUGCCCGGCCGAAGUUAAUCGAGCGUGUUGGGUAAGUUGGUGCACCCCUGCAAGGAAGUAUAUCUACUCGAAUAGCCGUGUCCACGGUGACGGAAGCUCGGAGUUGUAUCCCGAUCUAUUACAACUAGAACUAGAUACUGGAGACACUAAAUCGAUAUGAUGGCUCCGGGAUCGCUUUCUCGUAGGGAAUCGAGAAAGGAUCUCUAGGCAUUGCUACUACAUAUUUAAUACUUAUGUUAUACUAAUCUGCACUCUUCUAAUGUUGCAAGACGGUGCAAGAUGCUAGUUGAGCAAUGGUAGUAAAUGAAUUUAGUCCCAAAGUGAUAGAUAUUCAAGUGGGAUAUACUAAAAACUUUCAUGCAGAUCAUUGGAUAUUAUAAACUUGAUUCCUUGAGAUAUGAAGAUGGUGAUAUGUGAGUCAUGUUGGUGAGUAAUUAUGCUUUAGUAAGAAUAUUGAUGUAAAAGUUUGUGAUUCCCUGUGCAAGCAUGAAAAUCAGUGCUAGUUAUGUUUAAUGCUCAUUUAUGAUCGUUUUUGUUUCUUGGUUGGUCGCUUCUUAAUCUAUUUGCUAGCCUUCAUUUGUAGUAAGCAGAAGUAUUGCUUGUGCAUUCAACUCCUUAAAAUCAAAGUAAUGCCAAAUGAGUCCACCAAAAUACCUACCUAUACGCGGUAUUUCCAUGUCGUUCCAAGUAAAUUUUGUAUGUGUCAAGUCUAAUUUUCAAAAUGAAUUUCCUUUUUGUGUGCCUGUAUCGCUCAUGAAGCAGCAGGGGGUGGCUAAUAUUUUCCAUGCUAAGUAGGUUAUUCUUAACAUGAGUGUUUACACUUGUCACGAGAGUGUGGCAGGUAAUAGGGAUAUGCCCAGUCCCGAAAUGAAAAAAAAUGUUGUUCAAUAAUAAAUUUCUUAGAAAGUGUUGGUAUAGAAGGCAUCCGUAGAUAUGGCUAGCCAUGAAUUAUUUUGCACGGUCGCAAGGACAGUUUCUUGUUGUUUUUGAAUCGAAAUGUCCGACGGCGGCGCAAGCAGUUGAGGAGUUGGGUAAAACGAGGAGGAGAGCCGAAGCCGGCCGGCCAGCAGGCAGGCAGGUGGGACCCAGCUGUCAGCCACCACCUAUGUUCGGUGCUUGGUAGCUACUCUUCUCGGCCAGGACAGGCCCGGCCCAACCCUAGCCCGACACCGACCCGACCCGCGCGGCUCUCUCCCUCCCUCUGCGAGAGAGAGAGAGAGAGAGAGAGAGAGGGGGCGACAGCGCAGCGCAGCGCGGCGCCGCGAAGGGAAGGCUCCGAGGGAGGAAGGAUCGAAGCCAUGGCACAGAGGAGCAACUGGGAGGCGGACAAGAUGUAUGUAUCCAAUCUCCUCCUCCGUUUCUAGUCGAAUCGAAUCCAGUCGAAUCGAAUUGAAUUUUGGGGGAUUGGAUUGGAUUGGAUUGUCCUGAUUGGGGAUUGUGGGGAAUUGCAGGCUGGACGUGUACAUCUAUGAUUACUUGGUGAAGCGCAACCUCCACAACUCCGCCAAGGCCUUCAUGAACGAGGGCAAGGUCGCCACCGAUCCCGUCGGUACGUUUCUAGUUUCUUCCCCUUCCCCUUCCCCUUUCGGAUGGAGGGAUGCAUCUUCUUCUUCUUCUUCUUCUUCUUCUUCUUUUCUUCUUAUGCAGUGACCCAGUAGCAGUAGUAGGCAGCUAAUAAUAGAUAGAUGCUAAAACCAAUCCCCUCCCCUCCCCUUCAUUGGGGGAAAACAGAGACAAAAAGAAGUAAGGCAACCAUUUAUAACCAGUAGGAAUAUGUACCACUAGUAGGAAUAUGUACACCAAGCAUUACAACCAGUAGGAAUAUGUACCACUAGUACUACUACUAGUAACUCAUGUUAACCUAUAAUUAUUAUUAAUGGCUAAUGCUUGUCUGCUCUCGGUUCCGUUCCGUUCCGUUUCCUUCCGCAGCGAUCGACGCCCCGGGAGGCUUCCUCUUCGAGUGGUGGUCCAUCUUCUGGGACAUCUUCGACGCCAGGACAAGGGACAAGCCCCACCAAGGAGGAGGGCCCGGGGCCGCAGCGCCUUCUAUGGACGUAUGUCAUAACUCCCUCCAUGCCCAGCUUCUUUCUACAUUUUAACUAGGAUUUUUUUUAUCAAUCCACACCACACCUGUACCUGCACGUCGAUGCUACUUAGGUCAAACAGGACGUACUAUAACAACGUUUAUUCUUGGCCUGCAACGGUAAUAACGUGUGACUUCAAUACGGAUUCAGCCUCCCUUUCUUGUUUUGCUAAAAUGCUAUUAUUGGUAGCUACCUCUUCAGCUGAGCAUCCACUUUUAUAAUUACCCGUUCCAUUUUUGCUCAAGUUGUAUUACUUACUAGCUGGGAAGCAACUAGCAUUCUACCUUCUAUACACUUCUCUAUUAUACCUAGGCUGUAUGUACACAAGCUUAUCCUUACUGCCGUGUGAUCCGAUGCUACUAUGGCCAAGUCACAGUGACCUCAAGAGUGGAAAAAGAAAAACAGAGCGCCCCCAACAGGAUGAUGCAUUAACUAUUUCGAUGUUGAAUGUGGCAUGCAUAAUCUGGCAAAGUAGUAAAACUGACCAGUGAGUGUGACUAGCUGUCUAAUUGCACUGACACUGAAUUUGGCUGUAACAUGGAUACUGUGUAUCUUACUGAUGAGAAUGCUUCUGUCUUCUUUUCCUAUCUGUGAAAUGUGAAUGUGAUAUCUGCAUUCUGUCUAUCAAGUUUAAUGAUGGUAUGUCAACAAGUCACAUGUGCUGCUCAUUGUAUAUGCUUUUGUAUUUAUAUGGAAUUCUUUGUGGUGCACUAGAUGAAGUCAAGGGAACACCAGAUGAGACUCCAGUUACUGCAACAGCAGAAUGCCCACUUGCAGAGAAGGGAUCCAAAUCAACCGGCCCUUAAUGGUGCUAUGAACUCUGAUGUAUCAGCUGUUCUGGCCUCUAAAUUGAUGGAAGGAAUGAGGAAUCACAAUCCUAUGGACUCCGAGGCAUCACAGCAGCUCUUCGAUGCAAAUAGGAUGGCUCUUCUCAAGUCAGCAGCUAACCAAACUGGGUAGGUUUUCAGCAAUUCAUUCCAGCACUGACUAAAGCUUUGGUGAGAUUCUGACUAACCUUUUGUCCAUUCAGGCAACUUCAGGGCAGCUCGGUCAAUAUGGCAGCUCUGCAGCAGCAGCUUCAGUCAAGAAACCAGCAAGUUGUAAUGCAUACUGUCUUCUCUAACUCAUUUCUAUUCACAGUUUCUCUGCACCUUUUUGCUGCUUCCUAAUAAUCCUAAUAUUCUACUCAACUAUUUUCAAGGACAUCAAAGGUGAUGGUGCUACUCAACAAAGAACAAUGCCUACAGACCCUUCCGCAUUAUACGGAGCAGCCAUGCUGCAAUCAAAAUCUGGAUUAGCCACUUCUGGUGAGUAAUAUCCUGAGAUGAUAUAAGUACUGCUGCUCAUUGUGUCUCUUGAUGUAGAAAACACAUGGUACUGACGGAAGACCCAUUAUCUGUCCAUACCGGGUGUCCUUGUGAAAAUUGCAUCAUGAGUUCUAUUGUUUUUACCCAUUAGUACCUUUUCGGCUUGCUGUGGCUAGUACUAUAUUCAUACUCGAGUGUUUGUUGAUUUGGAUGUGAGCAUACAGCUAGUUAGCUUGCACAUUAAACUCACGACAAACACCCUGAAAUUAAAUCGACCGAGAUUUGUAGAACUAUAUAAUAAACAAUGAAAAUAAUUUCAGUACAUGACCGAAGGUGUUUUUUUCUGAUCCAUCUUCCUCCACUUAGGGCUAAAUCAAGGAGUCGGGAGUGUGCCACUGAAAGGCUGGCCGCUAACAGUGAGUUUGCUGACAUCUCUUUACUCUUCUUUACUUUUCUUAUUGAAAGCUCAUCUGUUUUUGUUGUUGGCUGAAGGUCCCAGGUAUCGAUCAACUCCGGUCAACUUUAGGAGCACAGAAGCAGUUGAUGACAUCUCCAAACCAAUUUCAAAUUUUAUCACCACAACAGCAAAUGAUGGCUCAAGCACAAACACAGAAUGAGCUUGCUAGAAUGGGUUCUCCAGCUCAUUCUGGUUCACCAAAGGUUCGGCCAGAUGAACACGAGUAUAUGAUGAAGGUCAGUAUACAAUUGGUUCUGAGAAACUUGAUACAUGUCAAGUCCAUUAUAAGUCUGACAAUUCUAACUAACUAUAGUUCACUAUCAAUCAAAUUGCAUUGUUCUACAAAUAUGUUCACUGUUUAAAUAAAAUGUUCUAUAUUUUCUGGAAAGAUGCUCUGCAUUUUACUGGUACUUUCUUUCCACAGUUUUUCUGCUUGGGAAUAGUAUGGAUGAUUCUAUAAUUUCACUUUUAUGCCUUCCUAUGGCACCCUAUGCAUGUUAUGAAUGACUAUUAUACAAUAUUUGCUAUCUGUUAGUUGAAGAUGGCCCAGAUGCAGCAGUCCUCGGGGCACCGGAUGAUGGAAUUGCAACAACAGCAGCAGCAGCACCACCAGCAACAGCAGCAACAACAUCAACAGCAACAACAGCAACAGCAACAGCAGCAGCAACAACAGCAGCAGCAGCAACAACAGCAGCAGCAACAACAGCAGCAGCAGCAGGUAGUCUGAGUAAUUACCUUGAGAUGUUUCUUAAGUUUUAUAGCUCCAUACGUGUGAUACCUAAGCGUGUCCAUUAUUCUUGAUAUCCAGAAUAGUAGAAAGCGGAAGCCAACUUCUUCUGGGGCAGCUAAUAGUACCGGCACAGGAAAUACCGUUGGGCAUUCUCCACCCUCAACUCCAUCAACUCAUACUCCUGGUGGUGGAAUACCAGUAGCUAGCAACGUGAACAUUGCGCAAAAAAGUUCAAUGGUUUGUGGCGCGGAUGGAACAAGUGGAUUUGCUUCAUCCUCUAAUCAGAUGGUACUAUUAUUAUGCGUAUACUGCUCUGCUGUUUCAAUUUUUGGUUGUCAGUUUGUUGUGCUCAAACAACUUUUGUUACUGACAGGAUAAUUUGGAUAGUUUCGUUGAUUUUGAAGAUAACGUCGAUUCAUUUUUGUCAAAUGAUGAUGGGGAUGGUCGAGACAUAUUCGCUGCAUUGAAGAAAGGGCCCUCGGAGCAGGAGUCCCUGAAAAGUAAAUAUUUUAAGCUUUUGAGCUGUGCCGCAAACUUCAGCCCUGAAAAAGUAUAAUCAUUAUAACCGUUCAUUCUUUUGUAGGUCUUUCUUUGAGUGAGGUUGCUAAUAACCGUGCAAGCAACAACAAGGUUGUUUGCUGUCACUUCUCUACAGACGGAAAGUUACUUGCUAGCGCCGGUCAUGAGAAAAAGGUAAGCUGUGUAAACUCACAAGUAGAUGCGAGUUAACAAUUUAUUUUGUAAAUUCCUUGCUUGUGCCAGAGCGUUCAAAUCAUUAACAAUCAGUUUCCUUCUUUUAAGAAUAUUAGGAUUUUAUAAGUAGAAUUUACUUUUAAUAUUGGCACAGGAUUUCAUCACUGUUAACAGUACUUGUUAUUGCUAACUCCAGUCACGAUUGUUUUCAGUAAUAAAAUAUUUAUCUCAUAUUUCUUCUGCCGUACCAUACACCGGCACCUGCAUCUUAUUCUGUUUAUCGCUGGAGAUGCAAUAUUAUUACCCUUUCACCCACCUUGACCUGCAAUGUUGACAUGUAAUUUUGUUAUUGCUUUGCGUCUCUGAUAGAAAAUUAGGCCGUUGUAAAGCAGUUUAUAUUUUCUUAUAUGUGAUGUUUCUAUGGUACUGUAGGUCUUCCUCUGGAAUAUGGACAAUUUUAGCAUGGAUACUAAACCGGAAGAACAUACAAACUUUAUAACAGACAUAAGAUUCAGACCGAAUUCGACUCAGUUGGCUACUUCAUCUUCUGAUGGAACUGUUCGACUAUGGAAUGCAGCUGAGGUAUUUUCUUCUACUUUUUUUUAUAUGUGUUUCUCAUUAGUAAUUCUUACUUUCCUUAUUUGCUGCAAGUUCCGGCCUUUUGGUGCUUUUCACUGCCUACCAUUGACACUGAAAUUUAAACUUUUGCGCUUUGAUUGUGGCAAGAGAUCACUGCAAACUUGAGUUACAAACUCCAUAGAAGGGGAAUACCAUAGAAGGUCUUUUAUAGAGGAAGUGUAAAUCAUGCUCUCCUAUUUGUUAGUGUAAAAGGGGAACACCUUUGUCUCUUUUGUAACUCCAUGGAACACUUAUAUCUUAAAUGCAAAAAUCUCAACUGAAUAUCUAAGACUUACUGGUACCUUUAAUUGCAAUGUUUGAUUAUUCAAAGCAUGUGGGUACUUGCUAGAUGUAAACUAUAUUCUGCAAUCUGAAAUAAUAUUGUGCCAGGACAUGAUUUGUCGUGGUUGUCCAAGAACAUUUACUUAUGGCAUAAGCUACUAUACAGGACCUUCAGGCUGUCUAACCAAUUUAAAUUCAUUGGGUAGAAGCUGAUCUUAAGGUAAAGCGGUCUAGUACUGUUCAUGAUUAUGGAGUCCAGUCGGUUGACACAACUGUUCAAGUUUAGGAAUCCAGACUCCAGUAAUCAAAUUGCAAGUCAAGUACCGUUCAUGAUUAUGGAGUCUAAUGGGUUAAGGCUGAUCAGAAGUUAAAGUGGUCUGUUCUUUGGGCCAGACAGAAACUGAUGAUGGAUUUAGUUUGAUUUGUUUAUUACAGAGCGACCCAGUAACCCUAGUUCUUUUGCUGUCUGUCGUUUUUUGAUACACAUGAUUGCUGAUUGGACGCAGACAUGUUUAGUCAGAUUGAGCUUGAACAUAACAUAUAUGUUUAGUAUACAGUUGGUUGAUCUAAUUGUAGGAAACCAAACUUCACGCAUUAAUUCGCUAAUCAUGUGCACAUAUUGAUGAUGUGACUGAUUUUUUAUGGACCUAUGUUUCACUUCACCAUGUUAGUAUUGACUGCCAGAUACCUAAAUCCAUUAUUUUCUUCAUUUUGCAGCGAACCGGCGCAUUGCAAACUUUUCUUGGGCAUUCCUCCCAUGUAACAUCAGUAGAUUUUCACCCGAAAUUGACAGAGAUUCUAUGCUCGUGUGACGACAAUGGAGAGAUCCGGUUCUGGACAGUUGGUCAAAGUGCGGCUUCACGCGUGUCCAGGGUUUGUCUCUAGCGCAUGACGUUUGUAGAUGUUUUGCAGCCACAUAAUUUCAGUGACAAUAAUAAUAAUACUUGAAUUGUACAUGAAUGGAUACAGGUGAAACAGGGCGGUACUGGUAGGGUGAGGUUUCAGCCUCGGAUCGGAAAGCUCCUUGCCGUGGCAGCCGGAAACACGGUGAACAUCAUCGAUAUCGACACGGACACGAGUUUACAUUCACAGGCAAAGGUAAUCAAGAAUUGCACGCUGGUCGAGAUGCUUCUACCUGUAUGCAGGUGUUUCUGCAAUGUCAGGAGGUAACUGUUGAUGAUUGUUUUGUUUAAAAAAAAAUAGGUUCACUCUAGCGAGGUAAACUGCAUCUGCUGGGACGAAACGGGCGAGUACCUGGCGUCCGCAAGCCAGGACAGCGUGAAGGUGUGGUCGGCGGCGUCAGGGCAGUGCAUCCACGAGCUGAGGUCGCACGGGAACCAGUACCAGUCGUGCAUAUUCCAUCCGAGAUAUCCGAAAGUUUUGAUAGUCGGUGGUUACCAGGUAAGCAAGCAUUGACAUGGUUGCUGCAAAUUCUGAAUAAUAAUGUGCUGUGCAACAUAACAGAGCCAAAUUAAACCUGGACAGUUGGGUAACGUUUAUAUAUACAUGUGAUUCGAUGUGAUGAUGCAGACGGUGGAGCUGUGGAGCGUGGCGGAUAACCAGAGGAACGUGGUCCCGGCGCACGAGGGGCUGAUCGCGGCGCUGGCGCACUCCCCGCUGACGGGGUCGAUCGCGUCGGCGAGCCACGACAGAUGGGUGAAGCUGUGGAAGUAGGAGAUUGGUUGGUUGUAAAGACGAACUUUGAGCAUAUUUGUGGUGGGAGAGAAGCUGUGGAACUGGAGCACAAGGCAGCAAGCAAAUACAUGCAUCUUUUGACCGUCUGUUGUGGAGGGGAGGGGAGGGGGUGUAUGUACCUACCUAGAUGAAGGAAUGAAACAAGGAAGCAAGUUUGCAGCUGACUGAGAGAAAGACGAGUUAUUUUGUGUAAUUAAACCGCGGUCCAUCAAUAUUAAUUUUAGUAGUGGAAAGAAGUGUGCUAUUUAAUUAAUUUUGUUUUAAAUUUAGUGGGAGAGAGAAAUGGAGAAAGAGAAUGCAGUAAAAGUAAGCAAUGGCUGCAAAUAUGAUGAAUUUUCAUCCAUCCAUGAGACAUACCCGCAGAGAGAAGGCCUACCACAUUCGUCAGUCAUAUGCUUGUUGCAUCCAAUCUAUGGAUAGUGCCUUAACUAGUUGCCUAGUAAUUAAUCAUCAUCCGAUGUCGACGACGAUGAUGAUGAUUCUGAUUCUGAUGCUGCCGGUGACGGCGCGGGGCUGAAGGCGAUGCCGCCGGCUCCUCGGAGGGGAUGGACAAGGUCCGGCAGCGGCGGCGGCUUGGGGAGAUCGUCGGGGUUGGGGUGGUCCGGCGGGAUGCCGUUGUCGAUGCUCAUGAUGCCGAUGCCGCCGGCCCCCGAGCAGGCGCUGGCGCACGACACGUGGCACACCACCACCCACCCGGUGCACCCCUCCAGGCACGUGUCGCGGCACUUGUGGGCGUCCCCCAGCUGCGCCGCCGCCGGAGACGGCCGGCCGAGCAGCGCUAUUAGCAACACCAGCAUCACGGUCGCCCUUGUCGUCGUCGUUGGCAUCUGGUUCGCGGCGGUCGUUGCCGGCGAGCUAGCUCCGUCCGCCUGCUGCUUAUAUAUGCAUGCGUUGCGUUGCCUUGUCUUGUUUAUUUGGGGACAGGUGAUGGAGAGAAUGGAUUCAUGAGCACCGUAACGUCCGGGCGUUCACCAACUGAGCCAGUAAAAAUAUUUUGGGAGGGAGGAGUCCAUCGAUUCAAUUAGCAUGCGUUAGUUAUGCGUUAUGCUAGCUAUUCCCUACCUACACCUACUCUAAAUAGCCAGCCCAGCUCAGCUGCAAAAUUCACUAGUUUUUUUUUUUUUUUGCGGGUAGGAGUAGAUUUUCUUCUUUCAACAUCUGCAAAAUUCAGUUGACACAACUAGCUAGCUACGCUACAGGCCCAGGGCCGGUUCUGGGGAGGCCCAAAAUCGAGGGGCCCCUCCCCGGUAUACACAGUAGGCGUUUAUGGCCCAACAGAAGGUACGCACGCAGCGAGAGUCACGCAGGAUGGGCCAGCGAUUGAUUCGUUUCAUUUAGUACAUGCACGUAUCCCUCAAAAAAAAAAAUAGUACAUGCACGUAGAAAAAGAAGCAACAUAUUGAUCCCUUCCGAUUCGUUCCUUAGGUUAGUACAUGCACUUCAUUCAAAAAAAAUAAAAAAAAGGUUAGUACAUGCACGUAGAAAAGAAAAAGAAGCAACUGAUUGAUCCCUUUCCAUUCAUCGGCGCAACCUCGCUUUGCUCUCCAUCCAUCCACAAUUCGAUCCUCUGAGGUAUAUCUUAUAUCUUAUAUUCAUAUCGCGGUUUCUACUUCCUAGUGUCCUAGAUGAACAGCCAACACAUCAGCACUGUUCAACAAUUGUCAAUUGGUGUAUUUUCUUAUUUUUAUUUUCGACAUUGUGUCUUAUCAUGGCAUCCGGAAGAAAAUAUCCAUCUCGUAGCGACUAAAAAAAAAAAGAAGAAGGUUGCGGCUGACUUGGUACAAUCACAGUGCGGAAAUAUUUAUGAUCAAAGUGAUUAUCAACAAGAAACCCUACAAGUUGUCAAGGCUUUUCAAGUUAAAUAUUUCUUUUAUUUUGGUUGAUAUGGCGAUCACUUCUUUGAAAGCUAGAUUUAAACAACUCGUGGAUUAUAUAUAUAUAUAUUCGGAUUAUUAUUGAGCUCGGGCACUCUGAAAUCAUUGCAUGAUAUUGAACUUGAAGAGUGUCGCACAAAAUUUGCAGAAACUUUCUCUCUUGAUGCUUCAUGAGAUGUUGAGGUAUAUGAUCUUAUUUUUGAGUUGAAGAUUAUAAGAUUAACUUUGCCAGAUGGUGAUUUUCGAGCAUGUCCAACAAGUUGUUUGUUAUCCUAAUAUCUUCAUUGCCUACCACAUCUUAUUUACUAUGCAUGUGACUGGCUUACAAAGUUGAAAUUACUGAAGAACUAUCUGAGGUAAACAAUGGUUCAGAGAGGAUAAAUGAUUUGGCAACAUUAUGCAUUGAGAAGAAAUUAUUGGAUGAUAUUGACAUCGACCCCAUCAUAAUUGACUUUGCAUUGAGGAUUGUUAGAAGAAAAUUUUAAGGUAAUAUGAAUAAAUUAUUUUAUAUGCAUACUGAUUUAGAUGCAUUUAAGUGUUAUCGAUCAAUAUUUCAUAUAUAUGUAUAUUCAUGUUUAUGCUAUGACAUCCAUAUUAAGGGCCCCGACUUUUAGUCUCGCCCCGGGCCCCCAAAAUCUCAGGACCGGCCCUGUACAGGCCACCCCAUCCUGAAUUAGUAGCUAGGAACUAACUUUCAACUGUCACUUUCCUACGUGGGGCUGCAUGCAUGCUAAUUCUAUCAUUUUGUAUGUGUACUUGCGAGCUACCAUUGCAUACAAAUAUAUGCAUAAUUGUGUGCUGCUCAGUUGGUACUGAUGAUGACAUGUUAACAUGCAUGAUCGAUGCAUAUCUUUGCAGUAGCUUAGAGUUCUCUACCUACACGACACAAGGGCCCAGUCCAUUCCACCAGGAAAGCGCAGCAUUUGAAAUUGAUCCUUCAACCAUACACAUCAUGCCCAUUCAUGCUUUUCCUUUCUCCCACUAACCCCUCGGCAACGAAGGGAAAUCAUAACAAAAAAGAUAGAAUUGUAUGGUUAAAUUCCUACAGAGAAAAAACUCCUAUGGUGCCCUUCUGGAAUUAAGGAAUGGCUCACCAAGCUUCCUAUAGAACUUCCUAUGGAAUGAGGAAAUCUAAGGAAUUUUGCAAGAAAACAUACAUGAGGUGGGUCUUACCUCAGUUCAAAAAGAGAUUGAUCCGGUUUAUGUGGGAACCCGAAUUGAAAACCAUUGAUCUAGUUUGUGUGAAAACCCGGAUCGAACACCAUAACAAUCCAAGGGGCAUUACAACUUGUCAAGGCAAGAACACGGAAAACACACAAAAAAGUAUAAGAUUACAACACAACACAUUAAGGGCAUCACUAGCAAAGAGGAGGCUGUUGGGCAUCAUAUCAUGCCAUAGGCAGCAACAGAGGUAAACUUCAAAGGACCCCGAUGGGAGCUCUACAAGACAACACCAAAAACUUGGCAAGGGUAAACUAACGGUACCACAAACCGUCAGUAGCCUCGGUAGGGUGGGAGUGCAAUCAGGAGUACCAGAGGGGAUCACAUAAGGGAAGUUUACCAAGGUUCGUGCCCUCAUGGUCAAGGUAAUACCUGACGGUGUAAUACAUCGGGGUGGCUUCUCUAAAAGGAACCCGACAACAGGCCUGCCAUGGGGUCUAGAUGGCCCAUGGAAGAGCCAGCAACAAGAGAGAAUAACUGGAGACCAUCUUGACCCCCAAGUCAAUAUGACAGCGGCCAAGAUUGGAUCUACCUUUUGUAAAACCCUAGCCCUCACCGUGCAUAUAAGGGGAGAGCUACAGGGCUCUCGUUCCCACCUACUCCCGUAUACUAGACUCUCGAUAGCAAACACAUCUCCCCAUUUGUAAUCCCUCGCAAGAGGUACACCCACCAUGAAAAACAACUGAAAAGCAGGAUGUAGGGUAUUACUCCUCACCAGAGGCCUCGAACCUGGGUAAAACCCCUUUGCGGCCUCAAUGUUGCCGGCAUCAUCUUUACACUUAACUAUGCCCAUGAUUAGGAAAACAUAACCACCAUGGAACACUUGAGCUUGUCCUAGAGGCGAGACUAGAAAUUUUAUUCUACUGUUCACGUGCAUAUGAGUUUUCCUAUGAACCUCUUGGUUUUCACAGGUUCGGCAGCCAUGGCAGUUAUAGCAUAGAAUAUAAAUAUUAAUUAUAAACUUUGAAAUAAAUAAUAACACAAUUAUUAUUGUCUCUAGGGCAUAUUUUCAACAUCUAGUGCAUAGAUUGCUUGUUCGGUAGGCAUAUCACCCAUGAGUGGUUGAACUCAUCCACACCGGAUUCGUUCUACCCAUCAUCCAAAAAUAUAUUUCUCCACAACAAUAAGAAAAGCAAGGUUUCUUUUGUCUCAAAGGAUUAGCGUUAGAAAGACGCGAGAAAUAUCUGAAACCCGGUGAAAACCACAUCAAAACCCUCUAUAUAAAGUGACAAAAAUAUCAAUCCAUCAAUGCACACUCAAUGGUAGCGUCUGGAGAUACUGGAGAAAGCUCAUAGUGGAUGCAGAUAUGUUCACCGGAUGAUAGGGUAAGAGAUGAAGACAACACCACCAACAUGGGAAACAACGUGAAUGCGUUGCCCCUGUCAUUGGUGGGUGAGUUGACACAAGAUUAAUUUCUCUCCGUACCUAUCACAAAGGAGGCAUGUCCCGCUACCCUAGGGCUGCUAUAUUUGCUCCUCUAAGUCCGGAAAGUUGGGGUUUUAGGUGUGGUGGUGUGGGACCAUGGAUAGUGUGCGGAGGCCAGAAAUCUGUCUGGCGGUCGCUCUUGUUGACAUGACGACGCCCACGCGUGCCGCAUCCCACAUGAGCAGACCCAAGACCAUAUUGAGGUUGUGUGGCAACCAUUGAUGGAGGACCAACAUGCGUCAGCCGACAGCCUGUUUGUGGCUUCGAGCAGGGGAUGCGGGUAGUAGAUGCAUUUCUUGAACAGUCACCGGGGGAGGGGAUCCCUCCCCACCUGAAUAUAUUGCUCAAAAAGCUGCCAAAGCCAAGAGUCAGCCCUUAAGCUUUGGAUGAUCUAGUUUAUAAGGGAAACAUGAUCGAAAACCUAAACAAAUUGACCUUCGUUUAUAUGGAAAACCAGGCCAAAAACCGUACAAGUAACAAGGUUACAGAAGAUGAGACAAAAAUUGACGCACAUCAAUGACUAAAGAAGAGAGAAAAAUGAUGCCCGGGACAAGGCACGACCUAGCUAGCAGACCGAAGGACCAUCACCAUGGGAGGCACAAGUAGAAGAUGCAUUUGGAUCUUGGGUGAAGGUAGGAGGGUAAAACAAACGUUUCUGCUCCAACCCGGGAGCAGCCAAGUCCCUAGACCCGUUCAGGGGCUACUGAUGGUGUUACGACCCUUGAGUGCCUCAAGCCAUCGGAAGUUGGACCACCAGGAUGGCCCGAGGCCCCGACCAUCAACCCGUCCUAGCUAUGGGCCCUCUACAAGGACAAACUUGUAUCUUGGAGCACAACAUAAGAAAACUGAAUAUCCAGGAGGGCUCUCCAACCGCCUUAGACGAGAUUCCUGUAAACCCUGGGCCUUGACACCCCUUACAAGCCGAGGCCAAGCUAGCUGCUAGGGCACCCUACAAUCCCUUGGUAUACCUACGUUCCUCGAGAUCAACCCUAUAAAUGCUACACCUCAUCAAUCAGAUAUAACAAGAGUAGGAGUAGGGUUUUACCUCUAGAGAGAGGGCUCGUACCUGGGUAAAUUUGUCUCAUGUUUCCCCUACGGGCUUUCCGGCUAGUCCGAGGGGUGUGCCAGAAUCCAGACCGACACAAUUCCUGCAUUUUUUAUGCCAUAUCUCGAGAACCAACCUAUGGUUGGAUGGUUCGAAGGGCAGUGAUGCCCCCAGCCCACCAGGGAUCAAACCACAGGUUUGACACUUUGGUGUCUCGUAAAGGUGGAAUAUUCUUUCAGUGGGAGGUGACAUUCCCCUCAGUAGAGAAACACUUGUGGUGACUUCAUCAAUCUCAAGACCCGCUGGCUUAGUCUUCGAAUGUGCUCAUAGGGGCAGGGCAUGUGCGCAUGCAUUCAUAGGGGUGAGUGUAUGUUUGUGUUUGUGAGCGUCUGCGUCAGUAUUGUGUUUCGUAAAAAAAUUUGCCAACCUCCAAGUAGAGCCUAUAAAAUCAAAAGGCUUUGCAACUCACACUACUAGAAAAAGGACUGUUAGUGGCGCACUAUAGGUGUGCCACUAUUACCACGCCACUAGUAACAAAUACUAAUGGCGCACCUCUGGUGCGCCAUUAGUAUUGCAGGUAACAGUGGCGCACCUUGUAGUGCGCCAUUACUAUUGCUACAGGUGCGCCACUGGUAACUUUUUUUUUUGAAUUUUUUUGAUUUUUUUUAAAUUUUGAAGGCGGGAAAAUAGUAGUGGCGCACCGUCUAACCCCCACCGUGCGCCAUUGCUAUUAUUGAAAUUUGAAUUUUGAUCUGGAUCUAGAUCUGGCUCAUUUUCUUGGCUUGUUUUUUUGCUUGAAUUUUUUUCGUUCUCGACCUGGAUCUGGUACGUUCUUUGUGCCGGGGGAGCUCCACAUGUGGGCGGAAGUAGAGGAGGAGGGAGGAGAGACCGUGAGGAGGAGAGGAGGGAGGANNNNNNNNNNNNNNNNNNNNNNNNNNNNNNNNNNNNNNNNNNNNNNNNNNNNNNNNNNNNNNNNNNNNNNNNNNNNNNNNNNNNNNNNNNNNNNNNNNNNNNNNNNNNNNNNNNNNNNNNNNNNNNNNNNNNNNNNNNNNNNNNNNNNNNNNNNNNNNNNNNNNNNNNNNNNNNNNNNNNNNNNNNNNNNNNNNNNNNNNNNNNNNNNNNNNNNNNNNNNNNNNNNNNNNNNNNNNNNNNNNNNNNNNNNNNNNNNNNNNNNNNNNNNNNNNNNNNNNNNNNNNNNNNNNNNNNNNNNNNNNNNNNNNNNNNNNNNNNNNNNNNNNNNNNNNNNNNNNNNNNNNNNNNNNNNNNNNNNNNNNNNNNNNNNNNNNNNNNNGCCGGAGAGGAGGAGAUGGAGUGGAGGAGAGGAGGAGAGGAGGAGAUGGAGUGGAGGAGAGGAGGAGAAGAAUGAAGGGUUAAGUGGCUGGCCGGCCCUUUUAAACUUCUGUCCCAACUUAGCAGUGGCGCACCGUGCACUGGUGCGCCAUUGCUAUUUUUUUGAAUUGUGAAGGCGGGAAAAUAGUAGUGGCGCACUAUUCACUGAUGCGCCAUUGCUAUUUUUUUUUUCACGAUUUUUUUGAAUUGUGAAGGCGGGAAAAUAGUAGUGGCGCAUUAUUCAUAAGGUGUGCCAUUGCUAACUUGUUUUUUAUUUUUGUAUUUUUUUGAAUUUUGAAGGCGGGAAAAUAGCAGUGGCGCAUCAUGCACUAGUGCGCCAUUGCUAAUUUAUUUAUUUUUUGCAUUUUUUGAUUUUUUUGCCUCCAGAUCUUAAAAGCAUCGUAACAUUUUUUCUGUUAGGUUUUUGAGGAUUCUAGAAAAUCGAUAACUGGCAUAGCCUGUCAAAUUCGGAUGUAACUUUUCGAGUAGAUGAUUUUUCAUAUAAAAAACUUUUUCAUCGGAGGUCGUAUGCAAAAGUUACGGCCAUUUUAUCGAAACACGGCGGCCUUUUGCAAAAAAAUUAAAAUUCAUGUUUGUUAAUUUUCCUAACAACUAGAACACAUAACACAUGGGCAUCUAUUUUUUUGAAAUUUUUUUAAAUCUUUUAUCAUUUUCUUUUAUUUUUUUAAAACCUAAAAGGCGAUCCAGGGGGUGUGUUUGUGUGUGUGAGACGUUAGUAAUGGCGCACCCUCCCUGGUGCGCCAUUACUAACCUCACACACACACGCAGGCACACCCCCACCAGACAUAGCAAUGGCGCACUGCUCAUGUGGUGCGCCAUUAGUAAAAACAUAGCAAUGACGCACCUGAUUCUGGUGCGUCACUGCUAUGCCCUCGAGGACCUGGUUUUUUUUUUACCUGUUUUUCCUCGCUCGCAUUUUCCAGGUUAAGAUCCCUGGGCAGCUUAUGAUUUCGACAGGAUCUCAGAACAUUCUUUAUUUGCUUUUUCAACAACGAAAUGGAGGGUACUUUUGGGUUGGGCGGGGUGCGGCUUGCGGAUGGCUCCGACCGAAACCCAUCUUUUCCAUCGGCGUCUUGACGUCCCACUUUGUUUUUUCGUGGAUCAUCAUCUCCUGGCGUAGCGGAAGCACUAGACGAGGCCUCUACGACAGAAGAGAUUCUUCCCCGUUUCUGCCCGGACGACAUCAUGGUGCGCCACUAGUAGAGAUAUUGGGGAUAAGCCUUUUUCUAGUAGUGUCAAUUGCAUAGAUAACCGAGCAGGAGAGUUCUUAGCAGGAAAACUGAGCAAGACACCAAAUAUGCAUAGCUAACUAACACCUGUAGGAGUAUCAUAGUGUCAUCUUAUUUGUUCUCAAUAUGAAGUUGUGUACAAGAUUAUUUGGCACUAUAUUUUCUCAUUUUUGCACUAUGAUAUUGUAUCAUAGCAUGACUCACACUAGUACUGCCACGCCCAUCACAUCAUUAAUUAUAGUGCCACAUAAUCUUUUCCUUAGGUGGCACUGCAUGAUAUAAUUGCACUGUGAGCUUUCUUGCUAGUCAACUAUCAGCUGGCAAUAUAAGUAGUACAUCGCGAUACCCCGCAAGAAAAGGUACAUUGCGAUAAACAAGGAAUAAUUGAUGCAAGCAAGCAAGCAAGCAUGCAUGACAUUGCUUUUAGAGUUAUUAUUGUGGAUGGAUCGGAUUAUUAGUGCAGUUAGUGAUUGUAUAAACCAUGCUUCUAUUUGAGUAGCUAGGCGCCUAAACAAAAAUGUGCAAGGAAUCAAUCAAAUGGCAGGUCUGAUGCACGGCAUAAGACAUUGUUUGCUUUCUUCACCAAUCAAUCAAUCAACCACCGGAUUAGAAUCAGAUGCCAUCCAAUCAAAUGCAUCUAAUCAAUUAGGAGAAGAGAAGAGAAGAGAAGAGAAGAGGAGGCACUAACACAAGGCAGGCAACACUGUCCUCUCAAUGGUUUGUACAGUUGUAGUAUCUUGUUUAAUUAGGAUGUAACACUGUUCUCUAAAUGGUUUGUACAAUUGUGGUAUCUUGUUUAAUCAAGAUAGAAUCUCAUCUUGUAACAUAGUUAGCAAACUAGUAAUUUAUAAGACUCUCACGGUGGAGUAUUGAGAGGCUACAUACAGUGAUUGAUUCCCUAAUAAAAGUUUGAAAAUAAAGAUAAAAAUAGCAAACGGCCUCACUACCCUAGCCCCUAGCUAGAAUUAAUUAAGCAAUUAAUUAGUUACAAAUAGAGCCACCGACUGAUCUCUAAAUGGUCUGUACAAUUGUGGUAUCUUGUUUAAUUAAGAUAGAAUCUCAUCUUGCAACCAAGUUAGCAAGCUAGUAAUUUAUAAGACUCUCACGGUUGAGUGGUGGAUUCCCUAAUAAAAGUUAGAAAGUAAAAAUAAAAUUGCAAACGGCCUCACUACCCUAGGCCCUAGCUAGAAUUAAUUAAGCAAGCAGUUAGUUACAAAUAGAGCCACCGACGGAGCCAGCCAACAAAUAGCAAGGGACAGCAAAAAAACAGAAGUUCAAAAAGAGGUGGGGCCCAACCCCAGCACACACGAGAAAGAAGAAGAAGAAGAAGAAGAAGAUAAAUAUGGAGGAGGAGGAUGGCAACCACCGCCUCGCCCUCCAUGAUUUGAUUUGAUUUGAUUUGAGAUGAUCAUCCUCUUCAUCAUCAUCACUUGACCCAUCAAGCUAACAAGAAUUAAUUAGCCUCCCAACUUGGCAUCAUAAUUGUUAGAGUAUCUACUACCUGGUUACUGCAGAUGAUAUACAUACCAGCAGCUAAGGUUCAGACUUCACAUGGGGUGGGUGUCAGAGAAGUGGCUCAUUGUUUAACUUAAUUAAUCAGCCUUCCUAAAUGAGUGAAUAAAGUUAAAUCAGAAUUUCAGAUCAGGGUGUCAUGAUCCCUUGCAGUGGCAACCAUAUAUAGAUCUGACUCUUCCAUCAGCAAGAGCAAGCAAAUCCACAUCUCUCCUGCUGAUGCUGCCUGCAAAGAAUAUACUAGUUGAGCAUCUACUAGUACCACCUAUCUACAGUAGCUGUCAAUCAAGACCAAACCACUCAACCAAAUUAAAGACAGCCAUCAAGCAAAGCAAAGCUUCUUAAUCUCACCAACUUAAUCAGCUAACCAGCCGGAAAUUACCAACAUAACCCCACCCUCCCUGGUAAUCUGGUUUACUUUUAUAGAAGAAUUGGGUGAGUACAAGUAUGCUUUAGUAUAUGCCAUGCCACAUGCUCCUCCUCAUACAACAGCUACAUGCUCAUUUAUUAUUUUGUCUGUCACUCAGACUGAGGUAGUAAUUUUGUUUGUUGUUUUGCUGAGAUGCGCUCAUUUGUUCCCAGGCUGUCUCUGAGAGUAGAGUAUUGGAAUCCAAUGCCAUCUUAGGUUGUUGGCAGGCAGCUGAUAUAAAAACCAUAAAUAAGCAAGUAAAUGAUUUUUUUAAUCUCACAAUAAUGGAGUGAAGUAGUACCUUCAAAUCCUAAUAAAACCACCGAAAAAUCACAACUGGAUUUGUUUCCUCCCUAUGGGUCUGGAUGUUGCAAAGCAGUUAGCAGAAAGAAGCUCUCUCGCAAAAAAAAAAAACAAACUGCUACAGCUUAGGCACAACCUCCAUUUCUUCCUCUUCCUCUUCCUCUAAAUAAAUAAAAAGCAGAGCAAAGCAAAGCAGCCUCAUUUCCUCUCUCUCUCUCUCUCUCUCUCUGAGCAGCAGCAGCAGGAGCACAGUGCUCUCUUCUGCGCUCUCUUCCUCCUCUCUCCCAUUUUAUUUAUUUAUUUAUUUUACCAUAUUUAUCCUACAGGCCUACCUCUCUAUCUAGUAUCUCUUCUUCCUCCUCUGAAUCCUUGCAUUUGCUCCUGCUCCCCCAUCCAAUCCAGGGAGAUUCCCACUUUUUCUUGGGCGUUUCUCUUCUUCUACUAGACCUUCGGCUGGCGCAAGAUCUGAAGAAUCAUCCCCACCGACGGCGACGGCGAUGAGGCCGGAGACGCGGCUCGACUCGGCGGCGUUCCAGCUCACCCCCACCCGCACCAGGUAACCUUCCAUGCCAUCAGGGGCGGAUCUGCGCCGUCACCAAACCAAAUUCCCCAUCUUUGCUGUUGCGCCGCCACCAAAGCUCUGCUCUUUCUCUUUCUCUUUCUGCUGCACCCAACUGCCGUUAUACUUGUACUACUAGAUCCAAUCCAAGAGAUAGAUACUAACAUUCAUACUUACUUAUCGCUGGAUUUGCGCUCUCAUUACUGCUAGUAUAUCGCAUUGCAAUCUGCAACCCCCUUUCCUUUUUUGUGUCUUCGUCUGUCGGCGGCAGCAGCAGCAACAAGCAACGAUUUUUAUUUUAUUAUUAUUCUAUUGCAGGUGUGAUUUGAUUGUGAUAGCCAACGGGAGGAAGGAGAAGAUCGCCUCCGGCCUGCUCAACCCCUUCGUCGCCCACCUCAAGGCCGCCCAGGACCAGAUUGCCAAGGGAGGCUACACCAUCCUCCUCCAGCCGGAUCCGGCGGCCGACGCGCCAUGGUUCACCAGGGGCACCGUCGAGAGGUUUGUCGUCUCGUGUUUAUCUGUCGGUUGGCCGUGUUUGUCUGCCGGUUGCUGACGGCGACGGCCGCCGUGUUAGUGGCUCAUUUGUGUGGUUGCUUCUUGUUGGCAUUAGGUUCGUCCGGUUCGUGAGCACGCCGGAGGUCCUGGAGCGCGUGACGACGAUAGAGUCCGAGAUACUGCAGCUCGAGGACGCCAUCGCCGUCCAGAGCAACGAAAAUCUUGGACUCAAAUCUGUAAGUACACAAUGGUAAUCUGUAAUGUACUACUUACUUGACACUGACUGCAGAGUGAGUGAUGACUUGCUUCUAUGCCUUUGUGUUAGGGAGAAGGCCACAACGGGAAACCGGUGGACUCGUCCAUGGAAGGUACAGGAGAUACUACCACCGAUUUCAUUUCUGAAUGUUGCGUCGCGCAGUCACAGUAUCCACGAAGAAAAUUUCGGCAAUGCUUAUUCGCAACUGAAAAAAAUCCUCUGCUGUGCGUUGCUUUGAGUUUGGACCACAGAAACUUUUUGUAUGGCGACCGCACCGCACCGCUGUUUUAGAAUCUAUCUAUCAGUUAUGGAAUUUGGUGCGGUGUACCAUCCAUCAGUCACACCUGUUGAGUUAGCUAGCCAGUUAGGUGCAUGAUAGUGGACGCCUCAAAAGUAUUAUUUGGGUGGCUGUACAGGGGAAAUGACAAUGUGCCAUGUUUGAUUGACGACCUAUCUUUUAUUCGUGUUUAUACACUGUGUUCUGCUUCACCUAACUUAUAUUGGAAGCUGAUUAUUCUGUAAGAUGGAUCUAACCAUCAUUAAGUGCGCACGUUUUCAGGACAAUUUACAACUACAUAAAAUGAUUCUGUGGGAAUUAUAUAUGUUUUCUCAUGAUAGAUUGAUCUGAACUGGGACAUGAUUUGGCAUCCCUUUUUCCGUUGGUAAAUUUACCUGACAUGUCCCUUCACAGGUGGCAAGACAGGUUACAAUACUGAUGGUGAUAAGGCACUUGUUCUGUACAAGGUAAGGUUGUAUGGAUAAAUUACAACUGAUUUUUUUUUCUGUAAUAAAUGUGUCAUGGUAAAAGGGUAUCAUAAGUAACUCUGAUGUUCUUGUAUCAAUGGCAGCCUGACGCACACCCAGCAUCCCCACUGCAGAAUGACGACGGAGUACAUGAGGAGCAUUCAAAGUAUUUAUAUGCAUAAGCCCCCUUUUCUCCAUGAUGUUUUCCUUGAAGACAUUUUAUCUCACAUUUCUGUCUUGUUUAUAUGAAAAAUCUGCGCUGUCAUAAUUCUUUUUUUCGUGCAGUAACAUAUGCUUUUAUCUAAUGAAAGCUUGGUCACACUGAUUCUAUAGUAAAAAUUCAGCUCUUUGAUUACUUUAUCUACACUUUUUGGGAUGAUGUCUUAUUUUUUGGAAUUUCUUUCUUGGAAGAAGUAUUUAUCUGCAUCUUGGUGAGGUGUUAAUUGAAAUAUAUAUUUUUACAAUAUUUUGCAGAGUUCAGCUUCUCAGAGUGCUGGAGAUUCGCAAAACUGUCUUACGCAAAGAGCAGGCUAUGGCCUUUGCACGUGCUGUAGCUGCUGGGUUUGAUAUAGACAACCUGAUAUAUUUGAUCUCGUUCGCAGAGCGUUUUGGUGCUUCACGCUUGAUGUAAGUAUGGCCUUCUAAUGAACGAAGUAGUAUCAUGCUUGAUGUAUCGGAUCUUUCCGUUGGCUACAAAUUCCUGUAGAUAAUAUGACCCUGAGGCUGAUGAUUAAUUUGCGCCGACUCCAUAUGAUAACUGCAUAAUUUAUUGCAUUCCAUUCUGAUGCUAAUUCCGACACCAUUUCAGUUUGCCGAAUGUUAUUGCAAUGGACGACUAGCGCUUACACAUCAUGCUAGAUAAUGCACACAGUUCCAUUGCUGUACUACUGUACCUUUUCUUGAUCAACUGGAACACACCUCCAUUGAUUGAUCUCCUUGCUGUGUUUAACAGUUAGCUCUAAGUAAUUUCUGUGAGUGCAUAAGCGCUAACUGCGUUGGUGUUUGCUAUCAAUUUAUAGGAAGGCAUGCACACAGUUCAUUGAUUUGUGGAGGCAAAAACAUGAAACUGGACAGUGGAUUGACGUUGAACCUGAAACAAUGUCUGCACGCUCUGAAUUUCCCCCCUUCAAUGCUUCUGGGAUUAUGUUUAUGGGAGAGAAGGAAACAAUGUCUGUCUCUAAUGGAGAUACAAAUGGCGAAGAUGCUGCUAAAGCUGGUAUGUUGGUGCCAUGACUUAACUUACUACUUUCCAAAUGCUCACUUUGUUCAGUAUUUAUCUUUGUAGUUGAUAAGUGGAUUUUGUUAUCUUCAUGAUUGUUCACUUUAUUUCUUCCAUACCGCCACAUUUUAUUUUAAGUUUUUGUUAUCUAAAAAUUGUGAUCCAAAUUAUUCCUAAUAUACAUCCGCCUUCUGUUUAUUUUUACAUGGCAAAUUUUCUUCCAAUUUGAAAUGGCCCUUUUGCCUGGUAAUUGUGCAGCCAUAUUGAAUUUGUACCAUUUCUUUUGUCAAUCUGCAUGCACAAUUGAUUCAUGUUUCACCUUUUUCUUUUUUACUGUGAGAGGGAACUUGGAUCUGAGGAAUCGUUUUUCUGUUGCUUGACAGAUCACAGGGCACCUCAUCACCCCCAUGAGUACCAUCAUGGUCCAUAUCAAUCAGGAUAUCCACCAUGGGCAAUGCAUCCUCCUUACCCCAUGCAAGGCAUGCCACCAUAUUACCCUGGGGCGAACCCAUAUUACCCUCCUCCCUAUCCCCCAACAGAUGAUCCCAGGUACAACCACUCGGAGAGGAGACCAUCAAGGAAGCACUCAGCAGACAGCAAGGACUUCGACAACUCCGAUGAGGAAAGUGAUGACCAAAGCGGUUCAGAGAGGGAGAGUUCUCAUGGGCGCAAGUCCAGUAAAAAAGGCAAGCGCUCGGGCAAGAAGAAUGUAAUUGUCAUACGCAAUGUAAAUGUAACAUCAAAGAAGAAGCAUAGGUCAUCAGAGAGCGAGUCACACUCAGGCUCAGAUGUGUCAUCAGAGGAUAGUGAUGAUUCACACAGAAAAUCCAGCCGGAGGAAUCAUCAUAAGCGCUCGAGUUCGAAGAAAAAAGGGGGCAAGAAAACCAUUGAGUCUGAAGAUGAGUACACCAAGGAUGGAAUGUCUAAUGGGCAGCAAGAUGGAGAUCAAGGAAACUGGAAUGCGUUCCAGAACUUCUUGCUCAGAGAUGAAGAGAAGACAAGAGAUAAUAAUGACGCGGAUAUGUUCGCCAGUGAAAGAGAGCCACCACCACCACCUAGGAGGAGAGAGACCACAGGAAAUAUGGAUGAUCCUAUUCUUUUAUCGGAGCGAGGUUCUGCUGAUGUCGAUGAGCGAAAUGGAAUACCUUUCAACACAGCCAAUGGGAGAAUUAGGGCCAGGCAGAUGAUGUCUGGUGAUGAACUUAUGAUGUCUGGGGAAGGUCGGAGCUUUGUGGAUGGUGACAUGAAGGAGAUAGAAGCCGGAGGUGGGGGAUACAGAAGAGGGGCAAAUGAUGACUUCAUGGUUUAUGGACAUGACAACUCAAUGGACAGGGGGAGCUCCUUGGAUCCCCUUGCCGAGGGGCAUUACAAGAGACCCACUCUGGAGGAAAAGAAGAAUGUGCAUGGUGUGGACGAGUCCUUCAUGAUACCUGUUAGCUCCACCUCACAUGAUAACCUUGGAGCUGAUGGCCGUACAGCCAUUGACAUAGAUGCUGAGCUUGGCACAAGUGUUCAGAAAACAUCGGAUGCCAAGGCUGGAGGUGAACUUUUCUAUGAGCCAGAUGAAUUGAUGCCAGAGCGUGGAGUCGAGGAUGUUUCAUUUGGAUAUGAUCCAUCAAUGGACUAUGAUAGCCACAUGCAGAUUCAUCCCGACGUCGGCGUUGAAGAUGCAAAUGCAGAGGAUUUAUCAGCUUGCGUCGAGGAUGAAGGAAAGAUGCCAGCAAAAGACAAGAAGCUUAGAGGUUCACAUGAGGGUUUGGAUAAAAGAAGGAAGGAUGCCUCAGCAAGGAGAUUGUCAGCUCCCAAAGGUCCACUAACUGAUGCGCAGAAACGUGCACAAAACCUACGCGCGUAUAAAGCAGGCCUACAAAAGGAAAAGAAGGAGCUGGUAUUGAUGCAUUACCUUCCAUUUUACCCAUUGAAUGGUUUAUUCUUUUCUUCUACCUGUUGAGUGGACAAUAAUAUCCAGUGAUUCAUACCUCACGAGACUUAAUUUACUCAUCUUUUAAUAUCCUCCUUUGGAGCUUGUCACUAUCUUAAGUGACUAAGUUGAAUCUAUAUACAAACAGAGUGCUAGGGUAUAUCUUUUGGAUGGUACGGCAAAAUAUUACAAUAAUUUUAUUGUAAAAAAUGGCAUGUCCUCGCUUGUUCUUUUGAUAGGUUUCUUCUUAAUAUCGGUUACCACCAAAGAAUUGUAGUUUUCUGCUGGAUUGCUCAAACCGGUGUUUUUCUCAUAUUUUCAGGAAGCAGAACAGAUUAAACGGCUCGAAAGGCUUAAGCAAGAGAGGCAAAAGAGGAUUGCUGCAAGAAGUGGGGCAUCUAAUCCAAUAUCAACACCGCCGCAGGCUAAAGCAAAACCUUCUCCAAAGGUUUCUCCAAGUACCCACAAGAGUUCGAAGUUCACUGACGCUGAACCAGGAUCCUCUUCGCCUCUAAGAAAAAUUAUUCCUGCCAGAAGCAGUACCCCGGGGAGUGAUCCUCACAAAACAGCCAAAGCAAGCAAACUCGGCGGUGACAGCUCAAGUGCAGUGAGCAAGUCAACCUCAUCCUUGGCUGAGAUCAAAAAGGAGAAAAGUGGGAGAACUGAAUCCUCGAUUGAGCGGUUGAAAAAGCUUGCUGAACCUAAAAGCAAUGCUUCAACUGACCACCCUCCGAAUCCGAAGUCAGUGAGCUCGGACUACCCACGGAGAAGAAGCUUGCCAGAAGAUGUGCAGACCAAGAAAAUCUCCGCUAUAAUGCAGCUCGACGAGACCAAGUCGGCAGCCCUACCAGAGCUGAAAGUGAAAUCCCCACGAACCCCUGCUGCUGUCGUUGUGAAGAAUAAGGCGGCGGCUAAAGUAACAAAAGAGGCGCCACGUGGUGGACCUAAAGCACAUGCUACUUCAGAAAGUAGAGAUGGAAAGAAAUCUUCCAACGGUAAAGUUUCCAGGGUAAGCAGCAGUGAUGACAAUGUGGUGGUUGAGAAGACUGUCGUGAUGCUUGAGAACGAAGUGGUCUCUACGCCUCCUGUUGUUCUACCUUCUGGAAGAAGUGCAGAGAGCGAAACUCGCAGCGAUGACCGAAUGGAGAAUCCCAGUCUGGAACAGGAGUAUAUUGCCAUCAGGGCUCCACCUUCUCCUAUUGAUCUUCCUGAAGAUGCAAAUCCUACAAUCCAUACAUCAGACAACCAGUUGAAUUCGUAUGAGGUAUGUAUGAUUCAACUUCCCCUGUUCAUUUGCCUGAUGCUCUGUUCUUUGGGCUAUCUGUUUUGCUGUUUCUCUUCAUUAAUUACUUUUGAGCUCGGAUUAUCUGUGCAGCAGCCUUCGACUAAAAUGCAAUGUUAUUACCAUGCUAUUAAAUCAAAUAUUGCUUUUAGAUUUGUUAAUUAAGCCGACAUUGAUAAGAGAAUUACUGCUUGUUAUGGCUAGGUGGAUGUGCCUGAGUACAAGAAGGACGAGCUUGAGAAACCAGCCCCGUUGGCUCUGAUGGAGGAGAAACCUUAUGAGGCCCCUUUUGCCAGGGUAACAUCAUUGGAGGAUGCUUCAAGCAAGACUACUGCUUACAACCACCACCCAUUACCUGCGCAGGAACCCGAGACACUUGCGCGUGCAGCGAGCGUGAGGGCUCGCGUGCCGGAGCCUGCUGCAUACGCAGUCUCAGCCGAGGAGACACAUGGAGGAAGCGACAAGCCUCGGAGCAAAGAACCGAAAGGCUUGAGGAAACUGCUGAAAUUCGGCAAGAAGAGCCACACUUCAACAAUGGAUUCCGAUGCAUCAUCAGUCGACGAAGCCCCUGCAGGAGAUGGUAACUAAUCAAGCAAGCUGUGAUUAUACUAUUACUGCAAACACUUGGGCCAUUAUUUCCGUAAUUAUUAACUGCGCUUCAUGUUUGAUUCAGGUUCGAUGCUGAAAAACCUCAUUUCGCAAGACGACUCCGCGGGCUCUUCAUACAAAGGUUAGAGCAUCACCAUGCAUAUAAGAUUCAUAUAUGAGAGAAUUGCUAGUUUUGUCCCUGAACAGUAGUAUAAAUCUAGUUUAUUUGGGUGGAAAUGAAAUGAGAUAAAUGUACAUGUCUACUUUACAAAUGCAGCUUCUCGGUCCUUCUCCCUGCUGGCGCCGUUCCGCAAGAACAAGGUGGUCGUGCUGUGAUGCGGUGUGAGGACUUUCUUGUACUAUUUUUGUUGUUGUUGUUGUUGAUGAGGCCGGCCAACAGCUUGAUUGGGUAUCGAUUGAGAUUAUUAGUUUGUUGAUUUUCUAGUACGUACAUACAUACAUACAUACAUACGUGCAUACUAUUUCGUAUAUAUAUACUUGCACUGUACGCUUGUGUUGUGUUGUUUGUAAGCAGUAUGUGUGAUCUGUCCUUCACAUUGUAUUACAAUCUACACAUCAACUCUUGCUCGUAUAUACUUGUGGAUCGGGCGUAUUGAUCUGAAAAGGCGGCGUACCAUUGUGGUGUAUAUAUGAUCGUAUAUAUACGCUGAAGAA